UACUCGAAGCAAGAACGGCGAGAACUCCAUGAUCUGCGAUGUCAUUAGCCUCAAUCUCAGGGGGCUCUUGAUCAGACUGAUAGAUACUUGAUACCCCGUCUGUAACAUUUUAUAAGACGUUUUGAGUCCAUGAUAGUGUCAAAAAAACGUCUUAUAUUAUGUUACGGAGGGAGUACAUAUAUACUCCUGUAGGAAUAGUUGCCCUCAUCGGUUGCCGUCCAUACUCCAUACAUACUCGUUCUUAUGCAUACAUACUUGCUGCAAAUGAUUUCUCUCGUAUAAACUUUAGGAUUAAUUCUGAUGGUGUUUGAAAUCCAAACUGGUAUGCGUAGACAAAGAGGCCCUGGUGGCAUUGUUUCUGCAUUGCGUUACAUAUUCUAAUGAUGUGCUCUCCUCCUGUUUGCAUCAUCAUCUUGCAGUCUGCUUGAUUUAUCCUCUGCUUGAAAAUUGCUUGUGAGCUUUACUCUGGUCUCUCAAGGAGGCAAAACAAGUUCUCCAUCAUCAUCUUGCAGACUUAAACUUGUAGCACAAGAGCUUGACUUAAACUUGUAGGCGUGAUAGCAGCACCAACUCAGAGGCCAAAGGCCAUAGCAUCGGAUGCUCUCACCCUCUGCAUACAUACGCGUAAACUGAUUCAGUUCUUUGUCCACCGGAAAAAUACAGUUGGGCAGUCUUCAGUUCUACCAAGCUCAACUUAUGACGCCAUCACCAGGGUAUUUACUUCCUAGAGCAGAAAACCAAGCAUCUAACUCAUCAACUGCUCCCUCCGUUCCUAUAUAUAAGUCUUUUUUGAAGAUUCCAAUAUGAUGGACUGCAUAUGGAGCAAAAUGAGUGAAUCUACACUUUAAAAUAUGUCUAUAUAUAUCUGUAUGUAGUUCACAUUGAAUCUCUAAGAAAGACUUUUUUUUUUGAAAACCCCCAUAUAUUAAUCAGAAAAUAACAAAAUUCUUACAAUUGUUCAUUACAAAGCUAGCCACGCAGGGCGGAACACUAUUACAUAAAACACCGUCUGACCUACUAUCAAAACAAAAUUUAGCAAUCUCAUGCGCCACUCUAUUUGCCUGCCUGUCAAUCUUCACUAUCUUGAAAUCCUUAAUGAGGUCUGAGACACUCAUCGCCUCCUUUUUCAGGUCCACAAAAGGAGACCUGUCAAAAGAAUCUUUUGCCAGAGAAAAAGCAACAGCCGCGCUGUCAGUCUCCAAAAUAACAGGACUUUGGAAUGUAAUACCAAUAUAUAACCCAGCAAGCGCCGCACGAAAUUCUGCUUCAUCCACACAAGUGCACGACCUGAUAAAAUCCCAUGAGGAAACCAGGACUUCGCCAAGGUGAUUCCUGGCAAUUAUCCCAAUGUUGGCAGAUCUUAUGCUCUCCACAAAACUAGCAUCAACGUUUAUCUUAAUAUACCCUUGGUCCGGUGGCUCCCAAUUACGACAAACCUUCGCGAUUGGUGUGAUGUACCUCCCAUUAUCAAUCACCCCCUUACCUUUGAUACUUAAGUCAACUUGCGCACAGUUUUUGACAUUUGUGAAGGAUUUCCAGUAAUUUCCCACAAAAGUGACAGAAGCACAUAAGGAUUCUUUCCCCUUCCCGAAGAUCAUAUCAUUUCUGAGAUGCCAAGCUCUCCAAAGCAUGAAUAAAACUUGAUCACGUUCUGGCGACCGCAGUUGAUCAAGCAGAAUAAACAUCCAGUCCGGCCACGUAAAUCUGAAAAGCUCCUCGGCAGGAAUAUUCCACUCUUCUCUCAUAGCGAAACGGAACGCACGCACCUUUGAACAAGACACAAGGGCAUGGAAAGUACUUUCAUCCUCCAUCCCGCAUAUAGUGCACAUACCUAACACCGUUUGGUGAUGAAUAACUCUGUUUACCUGGGUUGCCAAACUGUUAGAUGCAGCUUGCCAGGCAAAAAUUCUAAAUUUUUGCGGGACUUUGGCUUUCCAAAUAACAUCCCACACACUUCUUUCCUUGUCAGCAGCAUAACUAGACGAUCCUGUCUCGCCCUUGCCAUCCUGAAAGUUUAAAGCCAGUCUAUACGCAUUUUUAACCGAGAACAUGCCAUUUUUCUCAUAGUGCCAAGCAAUUAGAUCUCCCUCACCUAUAGUCUGAAUACGUAAACUUAGGAUCUCCUCAGCAUCAUGGUUAUAGAAACAGGAGCCUGAUUAAAUUUUCAUCCCAUCUUCUUGUUCCGCUUAUGAAUAAUUCAGAGACCCAUUUCAGUCUAGUGCGGUUCUUUUUGACUAAAACUCUGAGGCCAGAAUUUCUAGGUAGCCAAUUAUCUCUCCAAAUAUUAACAUUUUUUCCAUCGACCACUCUCCAUAUGACCCCUUUUUUUAGUAGAUCCAAUCCAUGCACAAUGCCUUGCCAAUUCACGGAGGUAGCCUGCGGGAAAGUAGUAUCCAAUAUGUGACCAUUAGGAUAAUAUUUCACCUUCAAAACCUUAGCACAUAAAGAAUCUGGAUUCACUAGCAACCUCCAAGCCUGUUUAGCCAAGAGAGCUUGAUUAAACAAUCUAAGAUCUCGGAAACCCAUGCCUGCCUCUCUUUUAGGUUUCGUGAGUUUAUCCCAAGCUAGCCAAUGAGUUUUCCUUAUGUGAUCUUCGUCCCCCCACCAGAAGUUUCUUAUAAUUUGAGAUAACUCAUCACAUAAUGAAGCUGGAAAUUUAAAAAUACCCAUGGCGUACACUGUGAGCGCUUGCAAAACUGCCUUUAUUUGAUUUCCUUUUAUACCACUGGAGACAUAUUUUUCAAUCCAGUUUGAAGCUCUUUUUAAUGCCUUGUCUUUUGUUUAUUGGAACUUACCAACCUUCAUUCUACCCUCAUGUACCGGUAAGCCAAGGUACUUAUCUUCAAACCCUUCUGCAGUGAUAUUAAGAAUGACCAUAGUGGCCACCUGAUCCUCCAUACUACACUUUUUGCCAAACUUGAUCGAACACUUAUCGGGGCUCAGAAGCUGACCAGUUCCCACCUCAUAGCCCGACAGAAUAUUUUUAAUGACCAAGGCUUGAUCUAUGGACCCCUUGAAAAACAGAAGACUAUCAUCCGCAAAUAAUAGAUGAGAAAUACCUGGCGCAUGUCUGUUUAAGUGGAAAUCCUUUAGAACACCUUUGUCACAUGCAUCCUUUAAUAACAAAGAUAGGGCCUCAGCCACAAACAGGAACAAGUACGGCGAUAAUGGAUCCCCUUGCCUGAGCCCACAAGAAGGAUAAAAAGGUUCCAACAAUUGACCAUUAAACCGGGCUGAAAAUUUCACUGAAGUAACACAUGUCAUGAUCGAGUUAAUCCAAGUUGGCGCAAAACCAAAAGCCCCUAGCAUACUCUUUAACAAAUGCCAAUCUACGCGAUCAUACGCUUUUGCCAGGUCCAACUUAUAAGCACAGAACUCUCCACGCUGAUCUUUUAAAGUACUUAGCGAAUGAAUACAUUCGAAAGCAAUAAGUGCGUUAUCUGAAAUUAACCUUCCGGGGAUAAAGGCACUUUGAGUGGGAGAGAUCAUACCAUCCAGAAUAGGAAUCAGUCUAUUCACUAGGCACUUCGAAAUAAUUAUAUAAAUGACAUUGCACAGGCUGAUCGGUCUGAAUUCCUUGAUGGACUGAGGAUUUUUCACUUUGGAAAUAAGAACAAUGGUAGUAUCAUUUAUGUCGGCGAAUGUAGUAUUUCAAAAAAAAUUCCUACGAUCACGCAAGAUCUAUCUAGGAGAAGCAUAGCGACGAGCGGGGAGAGUGUGUCUACGUACCCUCGUAGACCGAAAGCGGAAGCGUUUAGUAACGUGGUUGAUGUAGUCGAACGUCUUCGCGAACCAACCAAUCCAAGUACCGAAUAUACGGCACCUCCGCGAUCAGCACACGUUCAACUCGGUGACGUCCCUCGAACUCUUGAUCCAGUUGAGGCCGAGGGAGAGUUCCGUCAGCACGACGGCAUGGCGACGGUGAUGAUGAAGUUACCGGCGCAGGGCUUCGCCUAAGCACUACGACGAUAUGACCGAGGUGUGUAACUGUGGAGGAGGGCACCGCACACGGCUAAAAGAUCAACUUGUGUGUUCUAGGGUGCCCCCCUCCCCACGUAUAUAAAGGAGGGAGGGGGAGGGGCAGACGGCCCUAGGGGGCGCGCCAAGGUAUGGAGUCCUACUAGGACUCCCUAGUCCUAGUAGGAUUCCACCUCCCACAUGGAGUAGGAAAGGGGGAAGGGAGAAGGAGAAGGAAAGGGGGGGCCGGCCGCCUUCUCCUAGUCCUAAUCGGCCUCCUGCCCAAGGGGGGGCGCACCAGCCCCUUGUGGGCUGGUGUGCUUCCCCCUUAUGGCCCAUAAGGCCCAUAACUUCUCCCGAGGAGUUUCGGUAACCUCCCGGUACUACGGAAAAUACCCGAACUUCUCCGGAACCAUUCCGAUGUCCGAAUAUAGCCUUCCAAUAUAUCAAUCUUUAUGUCUCGACCAUUUCGAGACUCCUUGUCAUGUCCGUGAUCUCAUCCGGGACUCCGAACAAACUUCGGUUCAUCAAAUCACAUAACUCAUAAUACAAAUCGUCAUCGAACGUUAAGCGUGCGGACCCUACGGGUUCGAGAACUAUGUAGACAUGACCGAGACACAUCUCCAGUCAAUAACCAAUAGUGGAACCUGGAUGCUCAUAUUGGCUCCUACAUAUUCUACGAAGAUCUUUAUCGGUCAAACCGCAUAACAACAUACGUUGUUCCCUUUGUCAUCGGUAUGUUACUUGCCCGAGAUUCGAUCGUCGGUAUCAUCAUACCUAGUUCAAUCUCGUUACCGGCAAGUCUCUUUACUCAUUCCGUAAUACUUCACCCCGCAACUAACUCAUUAGUCACAUUGCUUGCAAGGCUUAUAGUGAUGAGCAUACCGAGAGGGCCCAGAGAUACCUCUCCGAAACACGGAGUGACAAAUCCUAAUCUCGAUCUAUGCCAACCCAACAAAUACCGUCGGAGACACCUGUAGAGCAUCUUUAUAAUCACCCAUUUACGUUGUGACGUUUGAUAGCACACAAAGUGUUCCUCCGGUAUUCGGGAGUUGCAUAAUCUCAUAGUCUGAGGAACAUGUAUAAGUCAUGAAGAAAGCAGUAGCAAUGAAACUGUGACGAUCAUAAUGCUAAGCUAACGAAUGGGUCUUGUCCAUCACAUCAUUCUCCUAAUGAUGUUAUACCGUUCAUCAAAUGACAACACAUGUCUAUGGUUAGGAAACAUAACCAUCUUUGAUAAAUGAGCUAGUCAAGUAGAGGCAUACUAGGGACACUUAUGUUUUGUCUAUGUAUUAUAUGUACUAAGUUUCCGGUUAAUACAAUUCUAGCAUGAAUAAUAAACAUUUAUCAUGAAAUAAGGAAAUAAAUAAUAACUUUAUUAUUGCCUCUAGGGCAUAUUUUCUUCAGUCUCCCACUUGCACUAGAGUCAAUAAUCUAGUUCACAUCGCCAUGUGAUUUAACACCAAUAGUUCACAUCACCAUGUGAUAGUUCACAUCGCCAUGUGACUAAUACCCAAAGGGUUUUACUAGAGUCAAUAAUCUAGUUCACAUCGCUAUGUGAUUAACACCCAAAGAGUACUAAGGUGUGAUCAUGUUUUUGCUUGUGAGAGAAGCUUAGUCAAUGGGUCUGUCACAUUCAGAGCCGUACGUAUUUUGCAAAUUUUCUAUGUCUACAAUGCUCUGCAUGGAGCUACUCUAGCUAAUUGCUCCCACUUUCAAUAUGUAUCCAGAUUGAGACUCAGAGUCAUCCGGAUCGGUGUAAAAACUUGCAUCGGCGUAACUCUUUACGGCGAACUCUUUAUCACCUCCAUAACCGAGAAAUAUCUCCUUAGUCUUCUAAGGAUAAUUUUGACCGUUGUCAAGUGAUCCACUCCUGGAUCAAUAUUGUACCCCCUUGUCAAACUCAUGGCAAGGUACACAAUAGGUUUGGUACACAGCAUAGCAUACUUUAUAGAACCUAUGGCUGAGGCAUAGGGAAUGACUUUCAUUCUCUUUCUAUUUUCUGCCGUGGUCGUGUUUUGAGUUUUACUCAACUUUACACCUUGCAAUACAGGCAAGAACUCCUUCUUUGCCUGUUCCAUUUUGAACUACUUCAAAAAUCUUGUCAAGGUAUGUACUCAUUGAAAAAUCUUAUCAAGCGUCUUGAUCUAUCUCUAUAGAUCUUGAUGCCCAAUAUGUAAGCAGCUUCACCGAGGUCUUUCUUUCAGAAACUCCUUUCAAACACUCCUUUAUGCUUUCCAGAAAAUUCUACAUCAUUUAUGAUCAACAAUAUGUCAUUCACAUAUACUUACCAGAAAGGCUGUAGUGCUCCCACUCGCUUUCUUGUAAAUACAGGCUUUACCGCAAGUUUGUAUAAAACUAUAUGCUUUGAUCAACUUAUCAAAGCGUAUAUUCCAACUCUGAGAUGCUUGCACCAGUCCAUAGAUGGAUCGCUGGAGCUUGCACAUUUUGUUAGCACCUUUAGGAUUGUCAAAACCUUCUGGUUGCAUCAUAUACAACUCUUCUUUAAUAAAUCCAUUAAGGAAUGCAAUUUUGAUAUCCAUUUGUCAGAUUUCAUAAAACGUGGCAAUUUCUAACAUGAUUCAGGCAAACUUUAAGCAUCGAUACGACUGAGAAAAUCUCAUCGUAGUCAACAUCUUGAACUUGUCAAAAACCCUUUUCGACAAGUCGAGCUUUGUAGAUAGUAACAUUACUAUCAGCGUCUGUCUUCCUCUUGAAGAUCCAUUUAUUCUCAAUGGCUUGCCGAUCAUCGGGCAAGUCCACCAAAGUCCACACUUUGUUCUCAUACAUGGAUUCUAUCUCAGAUUUCAUGGCCUCAAGCCAUCUGUCGGAAUCUGGGCUCAUCAUCGCUUCGUCAUAGUUCGUAGGUUCAUCAUGGUCUAUUAACGUGACUUCCAGAACAGGAUUACCAUACCACUCUGGUGCGGAUCGUACUCUGGUUGACCUACAAGGUUCGGUAGUAACUUGAUCAGAAGUUUCAUGAUCAUCAUCAUUAACUUCCUCACUAAUUGGUGUAGGCAUCACUAGAACUACUGAUUUCAGUGAUGAGCUACUUUCCAAUUCGAGAGAAGGUACAAUUACCUCAUCAAGUUCUACUUUCCUCCCACUCACUUCUUUCGAGAGAAACUUCUUCUCUAGAAAGGAUCCACUCUUCGCAACAAACAUCUUGCCUUCGGAUCUGUGAUAGAAGGUGUAGCCAACAGUUUCUUUUGGGUAUCCUAUGAAGACGCACUUCUCCGAUUUGGGUUUGAGCUUAUCGGGCUGAAACUUUUUCACAUAAGCAUGGCAACCCCAAACUUUAAGAAACGACAGCUUAGGUUUCUUGAUAAAUCACAGUUCAUACGGUGUCGUCUCAAUGGAUUUUUAGACGGUGCCCUAUUUAACGUGAAUGCAGCAGUCUCUAAUGCAUACCCCCAAAAAAUAGUGGUAAAUCGGUAAGAGACAUCAUAGAUCGCACCAUAUCUAAUAAAGUAUGGUUACGACGUUCGGACACACCAUUAUGCUGUGGUGUUCCAGGUGGCAUGAGUUUGUGAAACUAUUCCACAUUGUUUUAAUUGAAGGCCAAACUCGUAACUCAAAUAUUCGCUUCUGCGAUCAGAUCAUAGAAACUUUAUUUUCUUGUUAUGAUGAUUCUCCACUUCACUCUAAAAUUCUUUGAACUUUUCAAAUGUUUCAGACUUGUUUUCAUCAAGUAGAUAUACCCAUAUCUGCUCAAAUCAUCUGUGAAGGUCAGAAAACAAUGAUACCCACCGUGAGCCUCAACACUCAUCGAACCGCAUACAUCGGUAUGUAUUAUUUACAAUAAGCCAGUGGCUCGCUCCAUUGUUCCGGUGAACGGAGUCUUAGUCAUCUUUCCCAUGAGGCAUGGUUCGCAAGCAUCAAAUGAUUCAUAAUCAAGUGAUUCCAAAAGUCCAUCCGCAUGGAGUUUCUUCAUGCGCUUUACACCAAUAUGACCUAAACGACAGUGCCACUAGUAUGUUGCACUAUCAUUAUCAACUUUGCAUCUUUUGGCAUCAGUAUCAUGAAUAUGUGUAUCACUACGAUUGAGAUUCAAUAAACCAUUCACCUUGGGUGUACGACCACAGAAGGUUUUAUUCACGUAAACAGAAUAACAAUUAUUCUUUGACUUAAAUUAAUAACCAUAUUGCAAUAAACAUGAUCCACUCAUAUUAUGCUCAACGCAAACACCAAAUAACAUUUAUUUUAGGUUCAACACUAAUCCCCAAGGUAAAGGGAGUGUGUGAUGGUGAUCUUAUCAACCUUUGGAAUCAUUUCCAACACACAUCGUCACCUCGUCCUCAACUAGUCUUUGUUCAUUUUGUAACUCCUGUUUCGAGUUAAUAAUCAUAGCAACUAAAUGAGUAUCAAAUACCCAGGGGCUACUAUGAACACUAUUAAAGUACACAUCAAUAACAUGUAUAUCAUACAUACUUUUGUUCACUUUGCCAUCAUUCUUAUCCGCCAAGUAUUUGGGGCGGUUCCGCUUCCAAUGACCAUUUCCUUUGCAGUAGAAGCACUCAGUUUCAGGCUUGGGUCUAGUUUUGGGCUUCUUCAUGGGAGUGGCAACUUGCUUGCCAUUCUUCUUGAAGUUCCCUUUAUUUCCCUUGCCCUUUUACUUGAAACUAGUGGUCUUAUCAACCAUCAACACUUGAUGAUUUUCUUGAUUUCUACCUUCGCCGAUUUCAGCAUCGUGAAGAGCUCGGGGAAUCGUUUUCGUCAUCCCUUGCAUAUUAUAGUUCAUCACGAAGUUCCAGUAACUUGGUGAUAGUGACUAGAGAACUCUGUCAAUCACUAUCUUAUCUGGAAGAUUAACUCCCACUUGAUUCAAGCGAUUGUAGUACUCAGACAUUCUGAGCACAUGCUCACUGGUUGAGCUAUUCUCCUCCAUCUUGUAGGCAAAGUACUUGUCAGAGGUCUCAUACCUCUCGACUCGGGCAUGAGUCUGAAAUACCAAUUUCAGCUCUUGGAACAUCUCAUAUGCUCCGUGACAGUUCAAAACAUUUUUGAAGUCCCGGUUCUAAGCCGUAAAGCAUGGUGCACUAAACUAUAAAGUAGUCAUCAUACCGAGCUUGUCAAAUGUUCAUAACGUCUGCAUCUGCUCCUGCAAUAGUUUUGUCACCUAGCGUUGCAUCAAGGACAUAAUUCUUUUGUGCAGCAAUGAGGAUAAUCCUCAGAUCACGGACCUUGUCCGCAUCAUUGCUACUAUCAUCUUUCAACUUAGUUUUCUCUAGGAACGCAUUAAAAUUCAUAGGAACAGUAGCACGGGUCAUUUAUCUACAACAACAUAGACAUGCAAAAUACUAUCAGGUACUAAGUUCAUGAUAAAUUAAAGUUCAAUUAAUCAUAUUACUUAAGAACUCCCACUUAGAUAGACAUCCCUCUAAUCAUCCAAGUGAUCACGUGAUCCAUAUCAACUAAACCAUGUCCGAUCAUCACGUGAGAUGGAGUAGUUUUCAAUGGUGAACAUCACUAUGUUGAUCAUAUCUACUAUAUGAUUCACGCUCGACCUUUCGGUCUCAGUGUUUCGAGGCCAUAUCUGCAUAUGCUAGGCUCGUCAAGUUUAACCCGAGUAUUCUGCGUGUGCAAAACUAGCUUGCAUCCGUUGUAGGUGAAUGUAGAGCUUAUCACACCCGAUCAUCACGUGGUGUCUCGGCACGACGAACUGUAGCAACGGUGCAUACUCAGGGAGAACACUUGUACUUUGAAAUUUAGUGAGAGAUCAUCUUAUAAUGCUACCGCCGAACUAAACAAAAUAAGAUGCAUAAAAAGAUAAACAUCACAUGCAAUCAAAUAAGUGAUAUGAUAUGGCCAUCAUCAUCUUGUGCCUUUGAUCUCCAUCUCCAAAGCACCGUCAUGAUCACCAUCAUCACCGGCUUGACACCUUGAUCUCCAUUGAAGCAUCAUUGUCGUCUCGCCAACUAUUGCUUCUACGACUAUCGCUACCGCUUAGUGAUAAAGUAAAGCAAUUACAUGGCGACUGCAUUUCAUACAAUAAAGCGACAACCAUAUGGCUCCUGCCAGUUGCCGAUAACUGUUACAAAACAUGAUCUCAUACAACAAUUUAUAUAUCAUCACGUCUUGACCAUAUCACAUCACAGCAAUCCCUGCAAAAACAAGUUAGACGUCCUCUACUUUGUUGUUGCAAGUUUUACGUGACUGCUACGGGCUUCUAGCAAGAACCGUUCUUACCUACGCAUCAAAACCACAACGAUUUUUCGUCAAGUGUGUUGUUUUAACCUUCAACAAGGACCGGGCAUAGUCAAACUCGAUUUAACUAAAGUUGGAGAAACAGACACCCACUAGCCACCUGUGUGCGAAGCACAGCGGUAGAACCAGUCUCAUGAAUGUGGUCAUGUAAUGUCGGUCCGGGUCGCUUCAUCAACAAUACCGCCGAAUCAAAGUAUGACAUGUUGGUAAACAGUAUGACUAUUAUCGCCCACAACUCUUUGUGUUCUACUCGUGCAUAUAACAUCUACGCAUAGACCUGGCUCGGAUGCCACUGUUGGGGAACGUAGUAUUUCAGAAAAAUUGCCUACGAUCACGCAAGAACUAUCUAGGAGAAGCAUAACGACGAGCGGGGAGAGUGUGUCUACGUACCCUCGUAGACCGAAAGCGGAAGCGUUUAGUAACACGGUUGAUGUAGUCGAACGUCUUCGUGAUCCAACCGAUCCAAGUACCGAACUUACGGCACCUCCGCAAUCAGAACACAUUCAGCUCGGUGACGUCCCUCGAACUCUUGAUCCAGUUGAGGCCGGAGGGAGAGUUCCGUCAGCAUGCCGGCGUGGCGACGGUGAUGAUGAAGUUACCGGCGCAGGGCUUCGCCUAAGCACUAAGACGAUAUGACCGAGGUGUGUAACAGUGGAGGGGGGCACCGCACACGGCUAAAAGAUCAACUUGUGUGUUCUAGGGUGCCCCCUCCCCACGUAUAUAAAGAAGGGAGGGGGAGGGGCAGCCGGCCCUAGGGGCGCGCCAAGGUGUGGAGUCCUACUAGGACUCCUUAGUCCUACUAGGACUCCUUAGUCCUAUUAGGAUUCCACCUCCCACACGGAGUAGGAAAUGGGGAAGGGAGAAGGAGAAGGAAGGGGGGGGCGGCCCCCUUCUCCUUGUCCUAAUCGCCCUCCUGCCCAAGGGGGGGCGCACCAGCCCCUUGUGGGCUGGUGUGCUUCCCUCUUAUUGCCCAUAAGUGAAGGAAAUAUGCCCUAGAGGCAAUAAUAAAUUUAGUAUUUUUUUCCUUAUAUCAUGAUAAAUGUUUAUUAUUCAUGCUAGAAUUGUAUUAACCGGAAACAUAAUACUUGUGUGAAUACAUAGACAAACAGAGUGUCACUAGUAUGCCUCUACUUGACUAGCUCGUUGAUCAAAGAUGGUUAUGUUUCCUAGCCAUUGACAUGAGUUGUCAUUUGAUUAACGGGAUCACAUCAUUAGGAGAAUGAUGUGAUUGACUUGACCCAUUCCGUUAGCUUAGCACACGAUCGUUUAGUAUUCUGCUAUUGCUUUCUUCAUGACUUAUACAUGUUCCUAUGACUAUGAGAUUAUGCAACUCCCGUUUACCGGAGGAACACUUUUUGUGCUACCAAACGUCAUAACGUAACUGGGUGAUUAUAAAGGUGCUCUACAGGUGUCUCCAAAGGUACUUGUUGGGUUGGCGUAUUUCGAGAUUAGGAUUUGUCACUCCGAUUGUCGGAGAGGUAUCUCUGGGCCCACUCGGUAAUGCACAUCAUGAUGACCCACAAGUAUAGGGGAUCAAUCGUAGUCCUUACGAUAAGUAAGAGUGUCGAACCCAACGAGGAGCAGAAGGAAAUGAUAAGCGGUUUUCAGCAAGGUAUUCUCUGCAAGCACUGAAAUAAUAGGUAACAGAUGGUUUUGUGAUAAGAUAAUUUGUAACGAGCAACAAGUAACAAAAGUAAAUAAAGUGCAGCAAGAUGGCCCAAUCCUUUUUGUAGCAAAGGACAAGCCUGGACAAACUCUUAUAUAGAGAAAACGCUCCCGAGGACACAUGGGAAUUAUCGUCAAGCUAGUUUUCAUCACGUUCAUAUGAUUCGCGUUCGGUACUUUGAUAAUUUGAUAUGUGGGUGGACAGGUGCUUGGGUGCUGUACUUACUUGGACAAGCAUCCCACUUAUGAUUAACCCCUAUUGCAAGCAUCCGCAACUACAAAAGAAGUAUUAAGGUAAACCUAACCAUAGCAUGAAACAUAUGGAUACAAAUCAGCCCCUUACGAAGCAACGCAUAAACUAGGGUUUAAGCUUCUGUCACUCUAGCAACCCAUCAUCUACUUAUUACUUCCCAAUGCCUUCCUCUAGGCCCAAAUAACGGUGAAGUGUCAUGUAGUCGACGUUCACAUAACACCACUAGAGGAGAGACAACAUACAUCUCAUCAAAAUAUCGAACGAAUACCAAAUUCACAUGACUACUUGUAGCAAGACUUCUCCCAUGUCAUCAGGAACAAACAUAACUACUCACAAAGCAUAUUCAUGUUCAUAAUCAGAGGAGUAUUAAUAUGCAUAUAGGAUCUGAACAUAUGAUCUUCCACCAAAUAAACCAACUAGCAUCAACUACAAUGAGUAAUCAACACUACUAGCAACCUACAAGUACCAAUCCCAGACUUAGAGACAAGAAUUGGAUACAAGAGAUGAACUAGGGUUUGAGAGGAGAUGGUGCUGGUGAAGAUGUUGAUGGAGAUUGCCCUCUCCCGAUGAGAGGAGCGUUGGUGAUGACGAUGGCGAUGAUUUCCCCCUCCCGGAGGGAAGUGUCCCCGGCAGAACAGCUCUGCCGAAGCCCUAGAUUGGUUCCGCCAAGGUUCCGCCUCGUGGCGGCGGAGUCUCGUCCCGAAAGCUUGCUUAUAAUUUUUCUUCGAACGAAAGACUUCAUAUAGCGGACGAUGGCCACCGAGGGCCAACAGGGGGCCCACGAGGCAGGGGGGCGCGCCCAGGGGGGUAGGGCGCGCCCCCCACCCUCGUGGCCAGGGUGUGGGCCCCGUCUGGUAUUUCUUCCGCUCAGUAUUUUUUAUUAUUUCCAAAAAUAACUUUCGUGGAGUUUCAUGACUUUUGGAGUUGUGCAGAAUAGGUCUCUAAUAUUUGCUUCUUUUCCAGCCCAGAAUUCCAGCUGCCGGCAUUCUCCCUCCUUAUGUAAACCUUUUAAAAUAAGAGAGAAUAGGCAUAAGUAUUGUGACAUAAUGUGUAAUAACAACCCAUAAUGCAAUAAAUAUUGAUAUAAAAGCAUGAUGCAAAAUGGACGUAUCAACUCCCCCAAGCUUAGACCUCGCUUGUCCUCAAGCGAAAGCCGAUAACGAUAAAUAUGUGCACAUGUUUAGAGGUAGAGGUGUCGAUAAAAUAAAAUACGGACAUGAGGGCAUCAUGAUUAUUCUCAUAACAGCAACAUAUAUGGAUAAUGUCAUAUGAUUUCUUAUGCUCAAGUAAUAAUCUAUUCACAAUGCAAAGUAUGAAUUAGAAACAUUAUUGAGAACUAACAAACUAUAAUCUCAGUCAUUGAGGCAAUUGCAAUUUAUCAUAACAUCAGAAAGAGUCCAAGUCAGAGCUUUUUAGCAAGUCCACAUACUCAACUAUCAUUUAGUCUUUCACAAUUGCUAACACUCACGCAAUACUUGUGGUUACAGAGUUUUAAUCGGACACAGAGAAAGACAGGGGCUUAUAGUUUCGCCUCCCAACCUCUUACCUCAAGGGUAAUGUCAACAAUAAUAAUUCAUCCUAACUUACAUCCAAUUAGAUAUAUAUAUCAGGAUCUUUCCAACAUCCUGUGCUUGCCAAAGGAUAAAAUGUAAAAAGGAAAGGUGAAGAUCACCAUGACUCUUGCAUAAGGUAGAAGAUAAUAAUAAAAGAUAGGCCCUUCGCAGAGGGAAGCAGAGGUUGCCAUGCGCUUUCAGGGUUGGAUGCACAAAAUCUUAAUGCGAAAGAACGUCACUUUAUAUUGCCACUUGUGAUAUAGACCUUUAUUAUGCAGUCCGUCGCUUUUAUUUCUUCCACAUCACAAGAUCGUAUAAAACUUAUUUCCUCCACACCAAUCAAUCAUACAUAUUUAGAGAGCAAUUUUUAUUGCUUGCACCGAUGAAAACUUACUUGAAGGAUCUUACUCAAUCCAUGGUAGAUAUGGUGGACUCUCAUGGCAAAACUGGGUUUAAGGGUUUUUGGAAGCACAAGUAGUAUCUCUACUUGGUGCAAAGAAUUUGGCUAGCAUGAGGGGGAAAGGCAAGCUCAACAUGUUGGGUGAUCCAUGACAAUAUACUUUAUCUCAGAUAUAAGAAAACAUAACCCAUUACGUUGUCUUCCUUGUCCAACAUCAACUCUUUAGCAUGUCAUAUUUUAAUGAGUGCUCCCAAUCAUAAAAGAUGUCCAAGAUAGUAUAUUUAUAUGUGAAACCUCCCUUUCUUUAUUACUUCCUAUUAAUUGCAACGAUGACCAAAGCUAUGUUUGCCAACUCCCAACAAUUUUUAAUCAUCAUACUCUUUCUAUGUGAAGUAAUUACUCUCCAUAAGAUCAAUAUGAUCUCUUUGUUUCUUUUUAUUCUUUUCUCUUCUCUUUUAUUCACUCAAGAUCAUGGCAAAAUAAUCAAGCCCUUGACUCAACACUACUCUUUAUUAUAUAGCUCACGGACUCGAUUACAUAGAGAGAUCAUAGAGCAAAACUCAAGGCUAGAUCACACUAAAAACUUUAUUCUACUAAAUCAAGAUACUACUAAUAGGAUCGAACUAAGAAAAACGGUAAAGAUAGGAGUGUGAUGGUGAUACGAUACCGGGGCACCUCCCCUAAUCUUGGCAGUUGCCAAGGGGAGUGCCCAUACCCAUGUGAUUAUAUCUCCUUUGCCGGUGAAGGGAUUGUUGAUGAUGUAGGCUUGUCGUCCAUCUUCCAAGGCAUAGGCUCACCAUCAUAGAAGGAUGAUCGAGUCUUCGGGAUCCUUAAAUCUGCAGCCAAACUCAUCCUCUUGAAUCUAUAUUCAUACUCACAGUUUUGGUUUUGCAGGUCAUAGAUUUGGGCUUGGAGGUGCUCGAUUUUCUCGUGGAGCUUGAAGAUGGCCUCCCCAAUGUCCUUAGCAUCCAGCUUGUGGUUGUUGGUGAACUCCGUGAUCAUUAUGUGAUUUUAGUCAAGUCCACGCUCCACCAUCUCCUGGCCCUUGAAAACUUGUUGCUCCAUUGCUUCAAGCCUUGUCUCCACGCUUCCGGUCCUCCGUGGUCCCUCAACAUCGCGGAUGUGCAGCAACCCAUCACGCAUCUCAAUGGUUUGAGGGUGUUGCAGCACCUCCGCGAGGUAGGGGUUGAUGACCUUCUCGAAGAACUUGUCCUUGGGGGCGCUUGGAGACGUCAUGAUGAUCUAGAUCUGUCAGAGAAACAGCUCAAAACGAAAACAAAGGAUAUUUGCGUGAUACAGGGGUCAAAAUCUUCGGGAGAUUAUAUAAUGAAUUUUUACUGACCAAAAUACGUAUCGUGCAAGAAAACGGAGUCCGGAGAGCGCACGAGGCGCCCACGAGGCAGGGGGGCACGCCCAGGGGGUAGGGCGCGCCCUCCACCCUCGUGGAUCCCUCGUGUCCUUCCCGGAUUGCUUCUUAUUUUUCUAUUUUUCUAAAUAUUCCAAAACGGAGAAAAAUUGCCAUUAGAACUGUUUUGGAGUCGGUUUACUUACCGUACCACAUACCUAUUCCUUUUCGGAGUCUGAAACAUUCCGGAAGGUGUCCCUUAUGUAUUCCUCCGGGGUUACGGUUUCAAUAACAUUAGUUUCAACAUUUAUAGGAUUACCUGAGAUAUAAUGUUUAAUUCUUUGACCAUUCACCACCUUCGGAUUUGUGCCUUCGAAGUUGUUGAUUUUUAUGGCACCGGAACCAUAGACCUCCUCGAUAACGUAAGGACCUUCCCAUUUAGAGAGAAGUUUUCCUGCAAAAAAUCUUAAACGAGAGUUGUAUAGAAAUACAUAAUCACCUACAUUAAACUCACGCUUUUGUAUUCUUUUGUCAUGCCAUCUUUUAACUUUUUCUUUAAACAACUUGGCAUUUUCAUAGGCUUGGGUUCUCCAUUCAUCAAGUGAGCUAAUGUCAAAUAACCUCUUCUCACCGGCAAGUUUGAAAUCAUAGUUGAGCUCUUUAAUGGCCCGAUAAGCCUUAUGUUCUAGUUUGAGAGGUAAGUGACAUGCUUUUCCAUAAACCAUUUUAUACGGAGACAUACCCAUAGGAUUUUUAUAUGUAGUUCUAUAGGCCCAUAAUGCAUCAUCAAGUUUCUUGGACCAAUUCUUUCUAGAUCUAUUAACAGUCUUUUGCAAAAUUAAUUUGAGCUCUCUAUUACUCAACUCUACUUGACCACUAGACUGUGGGUGAUAAGGAGAUGCAAUUCUAUGACUAGCAUCAUACUUAGCAAGCAUUUUACGAAAGGCACCAUGAAUAAAAUGUGAACCACCAUCAGUCAUUAAAUAUCUAGGGACUCCAAACCUCGAAAAAAUAACUUCUUUAAGCAUCUUAAUAGAGGUGUUAUGAUCAGCACUACUAGUUGGAAUAGCUUCUACCCACUUAGUAACGUAAUCAACAGCAACUAAAAUAUGUGUGUAACCAUUAGAGGUAGGAGAAGGUCCCAUAUAAUCAAAGCCCCAAACAUCACAUGGUUCAAUAACAAGUGAAUAAUUCAUAGGCAUUUCUUGACGUCUACUAAUGUUACCAAUUAUUUGACAUUCAUCACAAGAUAAAACAAACUUACGGGCAUCCUUGAAGAGAGUAGGCCAAUAAAAACCGGAUUGCAAUACCUUAUGUGCAGUUCUAUCUCCAGCGUGGUGUCCUCCAUAAGCCUCGGAGUGACACUUGCGUAGGAUCUGUUCCUGUUCAUGCUCAGGUACACAACGUCUAAUAACACCAUCUACUCCUUUAUAAAGAUGUGGGUCAUCCCAAAAGUAAUGUCUCAAAUCAUAGAAAAACUUUUUCUUUUGCUGGUAUGUGAAACUAGGUGGUAUAAAUUUAGCAACAAUGUAAUUAGCAUAAUCAGCAUACCAUGGAGCAGUACGAUAAACAUUUAUGACAUUUAAUUGUUCAUCAGGAAUGCUAUCAUCAAUAGGUAGUGGGUCAUGAAGAACAUUUUCUAACCUAGACAAGUUGUCUGCAACGGGGUUCUCAGCUCCCUUUGUAUCAAUAAUAUGCAAAUCAAAUUCUUGUAGCUGGAGAACCCAUCUAAUAAGUCUAGGUUUAGCAUCUUUCUUUUCCAUAAGAUAUUUAAUAGCAGCAUGGUCAGUGUGAAUAGUUACUUUAGAAUCAACAAUAUAAGGUCUGAACUUAUCACAAGCAAAUACAACUGCUAAGAAUUCUUUUUCAGUAGUAGCAUAAUUUCUCUGAGCAUUGUCUAGAGUUUUACUAGCAUAUUGAAUAACAUUUAAUUUCUUAUCAACUCUUUUCCCUAUAACAGCACCUACAGCAUAAUCACUAGCAUCACACAUAAUUUCAAAGGGUAAAUUCCAAUCAGGUGGCUGAACAAUAGGUGCAGAGAUCAAUGCUCUCUUAAGUAUUUCAAAUGCUUCUACACAAUCAUCAUCAAAGACAAAUGGUAUAUAUUUUUGUAAUAAAUUAGUCAGAGGCCGAGAAAUUUUUGAGAAGUCCUUAAUGAACCUCCUAUAAAAACCGGCAUGGCCAUGGAAACUUCUUAUACCUUUGAUGUCCUUGGGACAUGGCAUCUUUUCAAUAGCAUCAACCUUAGCUUUAUCAACUUCAAUACCUUUUUCAGAAAUUUUAUGCCCCAAGACGAUACCUUCAUUAACCAUAAAGUGGCAGUUUUCCCAAUUCAAGACAAGAUUAGUUUCUUCACAUCUCUACAAAACUCGAUCAAGGUUGCUCAAGCAAUCAUCAAAAGAGGAUCCAUAGACGGAAAAAUCGUCCAUGAAAACCUCACAAAUCUUUUCACAAAAGUAAGAGAAUAUAGCCAUCAUGCAUCUUUGAAAGGUAGCAAGUGCAUUAUAUAAACCAAAAGGCAUCCGUCUAUAAGCAAAAGUACCGAAAGGGCAAGUAAAAGUGGUCUUUGAUUGAUCAUCGGCUGACACAGGUAUUUGAGAGAAACCAGAAUAACCAUCUAGAAAGCAAAAAUGUGUGUGUUUGGAUAAUCUUUCUAGCAUUUGAUUGAUAAAAGGUAAGGGUAAUGAUCCUUUUUAGUAGCCUUAUUUAAUUUGCGGAAAUCAAUUACCAUCCUAUAACCUGUAAUAAUUCUUUGCGGGAUCAAUUCAUCUUUAUCAUUAGGAACGACGGUAAUACCUCCCUUUUUAGGGACACAAUGGACAAGACUUACCCACUGACUAUCAGCAACGGGAUAAAUAAUAGCUGCCUCAAGAAGCUUUAGUAUUUCCUUUCUUACCACUUCUUUUAUCUUAGGAUUCAGCCGUCGUUGGUGAUCACGAACUGGUUUGGCAUCUUUCUCCAAAUUUAUUUUGUGCUGGCAUAGAGUGGGACUAAUGCCCUUAAGAUCAUCAAGAGUAUAUCCAAUAGCAGCGCGGUGCUUCUUCAGAGUUUUCAAUAAUCUCUCUUCUUCAUGCUCUGAAAGGUUAGCACUAAUAAUAACAGGAUAUAUCUUUUUCUCAUCAAGAUAAGCAUAUUUAAGAGUAUCAGGUAACGGUUUAAGCUCAAACACGGGAUCACCCUUGGGUGGAGGAGGGUCCCCUAGGAUUUCAACAGGAAAAUUGUAUUUCAGGAUGGGUUCCUGUUUAAAGAAUACUUCAUCUAUUUCCCUUCUUUCAUUCAUAAACAUAUCAUUUUCAUGGUCUAGCAAAUAUUGUUCUAAAGGAUCACUAGGAGGUAUGGCAAUUGAAGCAAGACCAAUAAUUUCAUCUUCAGUAGGCAAUUCCUCUUCAUAGUGUUGUCUACGAAAUUUAGAGAAAUUAAACUCAUGAGACAUAUCACCUAAACCAAUAGUAACAACAUCCUUUUCACAAUCUAUCUUAGCAUUAACUGUGUUCAAGAAGGUCUACCAAAAAUAAUGGGACAAAAGCUAUCUUGUGGGGAACCAAGAACAAGAAAAUCAGCAGGAUAUUUAGUUUUCCCACACAAGACUUCAACAUCUCUAACAAUUCCAAUGGGUGAAAUACUAUCUCUAUUGGCAAGCUUGAUGGUAACAUCAAUAUCUUCUAUCUCAGCAGGUGCAAUAUCAUGCAUAAUUUCUUUGUAUAAGUCAUGAGGUAUAGCACUAGCACUGGCACCCAUAUCACAUAAGCCAUGAUAAUGAUGAUCUCCUAUUUUAACAGAAAUAACAGGCAUGCCUACCACAGGUCUAUGUUUAUCUUUAACACAAGGUUUGGCAAUUCUAGCAGUUUCAUCACAGAAAUGAAUAACAUGCCCAUCGAUAUUAUCAGACAAGAGAUCUUUAACAAUAGCAAUAUUAGGUUCAACUUUAACUUGCUCAGGAGGUGUAUAAGUUCUAAUAUUGCUUUUACAAACCACAGUUGAAGCUUUAGCAUGAUCUUUUAUCCUAACAGGAAAAGGUGGUUUCUCAACAUAAGCAGUAGGAACAAUAGGAUCAUUAUAAGUGAUAGUCUUUUCUUCAACUUUAAUAGGUGCAGCUACUUUUACUUCUAUGGGAGGAUGAUAUUUAAACCACUUCUCUUUAGGGAGAUCAACAUGAGUAGCAAAAUAUUCACAAAAGGAAGCUACUAUCUCAAAGUCAAGUCCAUAUUUAGUGCUAAAUUUACGGAAAACAUCGGUAUCCAUAAAAGAUUUAACACAAUCAAACAUAGGUGUCAUACCUGACUCCUUACCUUCGUCGAGGUCCCAAUCUUCAGAGUUGCGUUUAAUUCUUUCCAAUAAAUCCCAUUUAAAUUCAAUAGUCUCCAUCAUAAAAGAACCAGCACAAGAAGUAUCGAGCAUGGUGCGAUUGUUAUCAAAAAGCCGAGCAUAAAAUUUUUGAAUAAUUAUUUCUCUUGGAAGGUCAUGAUUGGGGCAUGAAUAUAACAUUGAUUUAAGCCUCCCCCAAGAUUGAGCGAUGCUUUCUCCUUCACGAGGCCAAAAAUUGUAUAUAUAAUUGCGAUCAAGAUGAACAAGAUGCAUAGGAUUAAACUUCUGAUGAAAUUCCAAUUUCAAUCGUUUGUAGUUCCAUUUUCCCAUAUCAUCACAUAGCCUAUACCAUGUCAAUGCAUCUCCCUUCAAAGAUAAAGGGAAGACAUUCUUCUUAAUAACAUCAUCGGGCACACCUGCAAGCUUAAAUAAUCCACAAACUUCAUCCACAUAUAUUAGGUGCUCAUCAGGAUGCAUUGUUCCGUCUCCUGCAAAAGGAUUAGCUAGCAGUUUUUCUAUCAUACCCGAAGGAAUCUCAAAGUAGACAUUUUCAUUUUCAGUAGGUUCAGUAGGUUGAGGAGCAACUCUUUGCUCUACUGGUCGGGGUGAAGAUACCCCGAACAAGCCCCUCAAAGGAUUACUUUCCAUAGUAACAAGUGACAGUAAAUUUCAGCACACUAUAUAAAUUUUUCCUUACCAAAUUCCACGAACCAAAGGCGCUUCACUCCCCGGCAACGGUGCCAGAAAAGAGUCUUGAUGACCCACAAGUAUAGGGGAUCUAUCGUAGUCCUUUCGAUAAGUAAGAGUGUCGAACCCAACAAGGAGCAGAAGGAAAUGAUAAGCGGUUUUCAGCAAGGUAUUCUCUGCAAGCACUGAAAUUAUAGGUAACAGAUAGUUUUGUGAUAGGAUAAUUUGUAACGAGCAACAAGUAAAAAAGUAAAUAAAGUGCAGCAAGGUGGCCCAAUCCCUUUUGUAGCAAAGGACAAGCCUGGACAAACUCUUAUAUAGAGAAAAGCGCUCCCGAGGACACAUGGGAAUUAUCGUCAAGCUAGUUUUCAUCACGUUCAUAUGAUUCGCGUUCGGUACUUUGAUAAUUUGAUAUGUGGGUGGACCGGUGCUUGGGUGCUGUCCUUACUUGGACAAGCAUCCCACUUAUGAUUAACCCCUAUUGCAAGCAUCCACAACUACAAAAGAAGUAUUAAGGUAAACCUAACCAUAGCAUGAAACAUGUGGAUCCAAAUCAGCCCCUUACGAAGCAACGCAUAAACUAGGGUUUAAGCUUCUGUCACUCUAGCAACCCGUCAUCUACUUAUUACUUCCCAAUGCCUUCCUAUAGGCCCAAAUAAUGGUGAAGUGUCAUGUAGUCGACGUUCACAUAACACCACUAGAGGAUAGACGAGAUACAUCUCAUCAAAAUAUCGAACGAAUACCAAAUUCACAUGACUACUAGUAGCAAGACUUCUCCCAUGUCAUCAGGAACAAACGUAACUACUCACAAAGCAUAUUCAUGUUCAUAAUCAGAGGAGUAUUAAUAUGCAUAUAGGAUCUGAACGUAUGAUCUUCCACCAAAUAAACCAACUAGCAUCAACUACAAGGAGUAAUCAACACUACUAGCAACCUACAGGUACCAAUCCCAGACUUAGAGACAAGAAUUGGAUACAAGAGAUGAACUAGGGUUUGAGAGGAGAUGGUGCUGGUGAAGAUGUUGAUGGAGAUUGCCCUCUCCCGAUGAGAGGAGCAUUGGUGAUGACGAUGGCGAUGAUUUCCCCCUCCCGGAGGGAAGUGUCCCCGGCAGAACAGCUCUGCCGAAGCCCUAGAUUGGUUCCGCCUCAUGGCGGCGGAGUCUCGUCUCGAAAGCUUGCUUAUAAUUUUUCUUCGGACGAAAGACUUCAUAUAGCAGAAGAUGGCCACCGGAGGGCCAACAGGGGGCCCACGAGGCAGGGGGCACGCCCAGGGGGGUAGGGCGCGCCCCCACCCUCGUGGCCAGGGUGUAGGCCCCCUCUGGUAUUUCUUCUGCUCAGUAUUUUUUAUUAUUUCCAAAAAUAACUUUCAUGGAGUUUCAGGACUUUUGGAGUUGUGCAGAAUAGGUCUCUAAUAUUUGCUCCUUUUCCAGCCCAGAAUUCCAGCUGCCGGCAUUCUCCCUCUGUAUGUAAACCUUGUAAAAUAAGAGAGAAUAGGCAUAAGUAUUGUGACAUAAUGUGUAAUAACAACCCAUAAUGCAAUAAAUAUUGAUAUAAAAGCAUGAUGCAAAAUGGACGUAUCACAUCACUAUAAGCCUUGCAAGCAUUGCAACUAACGAGUUAGUUGCGGGAUGAUGUAUUACAGAACGAGUAAAGAGACUUGCCGGUAACGAGAUUGAACUAGGUAUUGAGAUACCGACGAUCGAAUCUCGGGCAAGUAACAUACCGAUGACAAAGGGAACAACGUAUGUUGUUAUGCGGUCUGACCGAUAAAGAUCUUCAUAGAAUAUGUGGGAGCCAAUAUGAGCAUCCAGGUUCCACUAUUGGUAAUUGACCGAAGACGUGUCUCGGUCAUGUCUACAUAGUUCUCGAACCCGUAGGGUCCGCACGCUUAAAGUUUAUGACGGUUAUAUUAUGAGUUUACGUGUUUUGAUAUACUGAAGGUUUCGGACAUUUAUCGGAGUACCGGGGGUUACCGAACCCUCCCACCCCCCGGGAACUAAUGGGCCUUGUUGGGCCCUAGUGGAGAGAGAGAGGGGCCGGCCAGGGCAAGAGGCGCGCCCCUCCCCUUGAGUCCGAAUAGGACAAGGAAGGGGGGGCGGCGCCCCCCUUGCCUUUCCCCUCUCCCACUCCUUCCUCGCCCCUCCUUCUUGGACUAGGAAAGGGAGGGGCAAACCUACUUGGAGUAGGUUUCCCCCUCCUAGGGCGCGCCACCCCCUUGGCCGGCCCUCGCCUCCUCCCCCCCUUUAUAUACGGAGGAGGGGGCACCCCAUAGACAGAACAAUUGAUCUCUUGAUCUCAUAGCCGUGUGCGGUGCCCCCCUCCACCAUAAUCCACCUCGAUAAUUUCAUAGCGGUGCUUAGGCGAAGCCCUGCGUCGGUAGAACAUCAUCAUCGUCACCACGCCGUCGUGCUGACGAAACUCUCCCUCAACACUCGGCUGGAUCGGAGUUCAAGGGACGUCAUCGAGUUGAACAUGUGUAGAACUCGGAGGUGCCGUGCGUUCGGUACUUGAUCGGUCGGAUUGUGAAGACGUACGACUACAUCAACCGCGUUGUGCUAACGCUUCCGCUUUCGGUCUACGAGGGUACAUUGACACACUCUCGCCUCUCGUUGCUAUGCAUCACCAUGAUCUUGCGUGUGCGUAGGAAAAUUUUGAAAUUACUACGUUCCCCAAUAGUGGUAUCAGAGCCAGGUUUUAUGCAUUGAUGUAAUACGCACGAGUAGAACACAAGUGAGUUGUGGGCGAUAUAAGUCAUACUGCUUACCAGCAUGUCACACUUUGGUUCGGCGAUAUUGUUGGAUGAAGCGGCUCGGACCGACAUUACGCGUACGCUUACGCGAGACUGGUUCUACCGACGUGCUUUGCACACAGGUGGCUGGCGGGUGUCAGUUUCUCCAACUUUAGUUGAACCGAGUGUGGCUACGCCGGUCCUUGAGAAGGUUAAAACAGCACUAACUUGACAAACUUUCGUUGUGGUUUUGAUGCGUAGGUAAGAACGGUUCUUGCUCAGCCCGUAGCAGCCACGUAAAACUUGCAACAACAAAGUAGAGGACGUCUAACUUGUUUUUGUAGGGCAUGUUGUGAUGUGAUAUGGUCAAGGCAUGAUGCUAUAUUUUAUUGUAUGAGAUGAUCAUGUUUUGUAACCGAGUUAUCGGCAACUGGCAGGAGCCAUAUGGUUGUCGCUUUAUUGUAUGCAAUGCAAUCGCCCUGUAAUGCUUUACUUUAUCACUAAGCGGUAGCGAUAGUCGUAGAAGCAUAAGUUGGCGAGACGACAACGAUGCUACGAUGGAGAUCAAGGUGUCACGCCGGUGACGAUGGUGAUCAUGAUGGUGCUUCGGAGAUGGAGAUCACAAGCACAAGAUGAUGAUGGCCAUAUCAUAUCACUUAUAUUGAUUGCAUGUGAUGUUUAUCUUUUAUGCAGCUUUGAUUGACGAUAGCAUUAUAAGAUGAUCUCUCACUAAAUUAUCAAGGUAUAAGUGUUCUCCCUGAGUAUGCACCGUUGUGAAAGUUCUUCGUGCUGAGACACCAUGUGAUGAUCAGGUGUGAUAGGCUCUACGUUCAAAUACAACGGGUGCAAAACAGUUGCACACGUAGAAUACUCAGGUUAAACUUGACUAGCCUAGCAUAUAACAGAUAUGGCCUUGAAACACUGAGACCGAAAGGUCGAGCGUGAAUCAUAUAGUAGAUAUGAUCAACAUAGUGAUGUUCACCAUUGAAACUACUCCAUCUCACGUGAUGAUCGGACAUGGUUUAGUUGAUAUGGAUCACGUGAUCACUUAGAGGAUUAGAGGGAUGCCUAUCUAAGUGGGAGUUCUUAAGUAAUAUGAUUAAUUGAACUUAAAUUUAUCAUGAACUUAGUACCUGAUAGUAUUUUGCUAGUCUAUGUUGAUUGUAGAUAGAUGGCCCGUGCUAUUGUUCCGUUGAAUUUUAAUGCGUUCCUUGAGAAAGCAAAGUUGAAAGAUGAUGGUAGCAAUUACAUGGACUGGGUCCAUAACUUGAGGAUUAUCCUCAUUGCUGCACAGAAGAAUUACGUCUAGGAAGCACCGCCUGGUGCCAGACCUGCUGCAGGAGCAACACCAGAUGUUAUGAACGUCUGGCAGAGCAAAGCUGAUGACUACUCUAUAGUUCAGUGUGCCAUGCUUUACGACUUAGAACCGGGACUUCAACGACGUUUUGAACGUCAUGGAGCAUAUGAGAUGUUCCAGGAGUUGAAGUUAAUAUUUCAAGCAAAUGCCCGGAUUGAGAGAUAUGAAGUCUCCAAUAAGUUCUACAGCUGUAAGAUGGAGGAGAAUAGUUCUGUCAGUGAGCAUAUACUCAGAAUGUCUGGGUAUAACAAUCACUUGAUUCAACUGGGAGUUAAUCUUCCGGAUGAUAGCGUCAUUGACAGAAUUCUUCAAUCACUGCCACCAAGCUACAAGAGCUUCGUGAUGAACUAUAAUAUUCAAGGGAUGGAUAAGACGAUUCCCGAGCUCUUCCCAAUGCUAAAGGCUGCGGAGGUAGAAAUCAAGAAGGAGCAUCAAGUGUUGAUGGUCAACAAGACCACUAGUUUCAAGAAAAAGGGCAAAGGGAAGAAGAAGGGGAACUUCAAGAAGAACAGCAAACAAGUUGCUGCUCAGGAGAAGAAACCCAAGUCUGGACCUAAGCCUGAGACUGAGUGCUUCUAUUGCAAACAGACUGGUCACUGGAAGCGGAACUGCCCCAAGUAUUUGGCGGAUAGGAACGAUGGCAAGGUGAACAAAGGUAUAUGUGAUAUACAUGUUAUUGAUGUGUACCUUACUAAUGCUCGCAGUAGCACCUGGGUAUUUGAUACUGGUUCUAUUGCUAAUAUUUGCAACUCGAAACAGGGACUACGGAUCAAGCGAAGAUUGGCUAAGGACGAGGUGACGAUGCGCGUGGGAAAUGGUUCCAAAGUCGAUGUGAUCGCGGUCGGCACGCUACCUCUACAUCUACCUUCGGGAUUAGUUUUAGACCUGAAUAAUUGUUAUUUGGUGCCAGCGUUGAGCAUGAACAUUAUAUCUGAAUCUUGUUUGAUGCGAGACGGUUAUUCAUUUAAAUCAGAGAAUAAUGGUUGUUCUAUUUAUAUGACUAAUAUCUUUUAUGGUCAUGCACCCUUGAAGAGUGGUCUAUUUUUGUUGAAUCUCGAUAGUAGUGAUACACAUAUUCAUAAUAUUGAAGCCAAAAGAUGCAGAGUUGAUAAUGAUAGUGCAACUUAUUUGUGGCACUGCCGUUUAGGUCAUAUUGGUGUAAAGCGCAUGAAGAAACUCCAUACUGAUGGACUUUUGGAACCACUUGAUUAUGAAUCACUUGGUACUUGCGAACCAUGCCUCAUGGGCAAGAUGACUAAAACGCCGUUCUCCGGAACUAUGGAGCGAGCAACAGAUUUGUUGGAAAUUAUACAUACAGAUGUAUGUGGUCCGAUGAAUGUUGAGGCUCGCGUCGGGUAUCGUUAUUUUCUCACCUUCACAGAUGAUUUAAGCAGAUAUGGGUAUAUCUACUUAAUGAAACAUAAGUCUGAAACAUUUGAAAAGUUCAAAGAAUUUCAGAGUGAAGUUGAAAAUCAUCGAACAAGAAAAUAAAGUUUCUACGAUCUGAUCGUGGUGGAGAAUAUUUGAGUUACGAGUUUGGUCUUCAUUUGAAACAAUGCGGAAUAGUUUCACAACUCACGCCACCCGGAACACCACAGCGUAAUGGUGUGUCCGAACAUCGUAAUCGUACUUUACUAGAUAUGGUGCGAUCUAUGAUGUCUAUUACUGAUUUACCGCUAUCGUUUUGGGGUUAUGCUCUAGAGACAGCUGCAUUCACGUUAAAUAGGGCACCAUCUAAAUCCUUUGAGAUGACGCUUUAUGAACUAUGGUUUGGCAAGAAACCAAAGUUGUUGUUUCUUAAAGUUUGGGGCUGCGAUGCUUAUGUGAAAAAGCUUCAACCUGAUAAGCUCGAACCCAAAUCGGAGAAAUGUGUCUUCAUAGGAUACCCAAAAGAGAUUGUUGGGUACACCUUCUAUCACAGAUCCAAAGGCAAGACUUUUGUUGCUAAAUUUGGAAUCUUUCUAGAGAAGGAGUUUCUCUCGAAAGAAGUGAGUGGGAGGAAAGUAGAACUUGAUGAGGUAACGGUACCUGCUCCGUUAUUGGAAAGUAGUUCAUCACAGAAACCGGUUCCUGUGACACCUACACCAAUUAGUGAGGAAGUUAAUGAUGAUGAUCAUGAAACUUCAGAUCAAGUUGUUACUGAACCUCAUAGGUCAACCAGAGUAAGAUCCGCACCAGAGUGGUACGGUAAUCCUGUUCUGGAGGUUAUGUUACUAGACCAUGACGAACCUACGAACUAUGAAGAAGCGAUGGUGAGCCCAGAUUCCGCAAAAUGGCUUGAGGCCAUGAAAUCUGAGAUGGGAUCCAUGCAUGAGAACAAAGUGUGGACUUUGGUUGACUUGCCCGAUGAUCGGCAAGCAAUUGAGAAUAAAUGGAUCUUCAAGAAGAAGACUGACGCUGACGGUAAUGUUACUGUCUAUAAAGCUCGACUUGUUGCAAAAGGUUUUCGACAAGUUCAAGGGAUUGACUACGAUGAGACUUUCUCACCCGUAGCGAUGCUUAAGUCUGUCCGAAUCAUGUUAGCAAUUGCCGCAUUUCAUGAUUAUGAAAUUUGGCAAAUGGAUGUAAAAACUGCAUUCCUGAAUGGAUUUCUGGAAGAAGAGUUGUAUAUGAUGCAGCUAGAAGGUUUUGUCGAUCCAAAGGGAGCUAACAAAGUGUGCAAGCUCCAGCGAUCCACUUAUGGACUGGUGCAAGCCUCUCGGAGUUGGAAUAAACGCUUUGAUAGUGUGAUCAAAGCAUUUGGUUUUAUAUAGACUUUUGGAGAAGCCUGUAUAUACAAGAAAGUGAGUGGGAGCUCUGUAGCAUUUCUGAUAUUAUAUGUGGAUGACAUAUUGCUGAUUGGAAAUGACAUAGAAUUUCUGGAUAGCAUAAAGGGAUACUUGAAUAAGAGUUUUUCAAUGAAGGACCUCGGUGAAGCUGCUUAUAUAUUGGGCAUCAAGAUCUAUAGAGAUAGAUCAAGACGCUUAAUUGGACUUUCACAAAGCACAUACCUUGACAAAGUUUUGAAGAAGUUCAAAAUGGAUCAAGCAAAGAAAGGGCUCUUACCUGUGUUACAAGGUGUGAAGUUGAGUAAGACUCAAUGCCCGACCACUGCAGAAGAUAGAGAGAAGAUGAAAGAUGUUCCCUAUGCUUCAGCCAUAGGCUCUAUCAUGUAUGCAAUGUUGUGUACCAGACCUGAUGUGUGCCUUGCUAUAAGUUUAGCAGGGAGGUACCAAAGUAAUCCAGGAGUGGAUCACUGGACAACAGUCAAGAACAUCCUGAAAUACCUGAAAAGGACUAAGGAUAUGUUUCUCGUUUAUGGAGGUGACAAAGAGCUAGUCGUAAAUGGUUACGUCGAUGCAAGCUUUGACACUGAUCCGGACGAUUCUAAAUCGCAAACCGGAUACAUGUUUACAUUGAACGGUGGAGCUGUCAGUUGGUGCAGCUCUAAACAAAGCGUUGUGGCGGGAUCUACGUGUGAAGCGGAGUACAUAGCUGCUUCAGAAGCAGCAAAUGAAGGAGUCUGGAUGAAGGAGUUCAUAUCCGAUCUAGGUGUCAUACCUAGUGCAUCGGGUCCAAUGAAAAUCUUUUGUGACAAUACUGGUGCAAUUGCCUUGGCAAAGGAAUCCAGAUUUCACAAGAGAACCAAGCACAUCAAGAGACGCUUCAACUCCAUCCGGGAUCUAGUCCAGGUGGGAGACAUAGAAAUUUGCAAGAUACAUACGGAUCUGAAUGUUGCAGACCCGUUGACUAAGCCUCUUCCACGAGCAAAACAUGAUCAGCACCAAGGCUCCAUGGGUGUUAGAAUCAUUACUAUGUAAUCUAGAUUAUUGACUCUAGUGCAAGUGGGAGACUGAAGGAAAUAUGCCCUAGAGGCAAUAAUAAAGUUAUUAUUUAUUUCCUUAUAUCAUGAUAAAUGUUUAUUAUUCAUGCUAGAAUUGUAUUAACCGGAAACAUAAUACUUGUGUGAAUACAUAGACAAACAGAGUGUCACUAGUAUGCCUCUACUUGACUAGCUCGUUGAUCAAAUAUGGUUAUGUUUCCUAGCCAUUGACAUGAGUUGUCAUUUGAUUAACGAGAUCACAUCAUUAGGAGAAUGAUGUGAUUGACUUGACCCAUUCCGUUAGCUUAGCACACGAUCGUUUAGUAUUCUGCUAUUGCUUUCUUCAUGACUUAUACAUGUUCCUAUGACUAUGAGAUUAUGCAACUCCCGUUUACCGGAGGAACACUUUGUGUGCUACCAAAUGUCACAACGUAACUGGGUGAUUAUAAAGGUGCUCUACAGGUGUCUCCAAAGGUACUUUUUGGGUUGGCGUAUUUCGAGAUUAGGAUUUGUCACUCCGAUUGUCGGAGAGGUAUCUCUGGGCCCACUCGGUAAUGCACAUCACUAUAAGCCUUGCAAGAAUUGCAACUAAUGAGUUAGUUGCGGGAUGAUGUAUUACAGAACGAGUAAAGAGACUUGCCGAUAAUGAGAUUGAACUAGGUAUUGAGAUACCGACGAUCGAAUCUCGGGCAAGUAACAUACCGAUGACAAAGGGAACAACGUAUGUUGUUAUGCAGUCUGACCGAUAAAGAUCUUCGUAGAAUAUGUGGGAGCCAAUAUGAGCAUCCAGGUUCCGCUAUUGGUUAUUGACUGAAGACGUGUCUCGGUCAUGUCUACAUAGUUCUCGAACCCGUAGGGUCUGCACGCUUAAAGUUUGAUGACGGUUAUAUUAUGAGUUUAUGUGUUUUGAUGUACCGAAGGUUGUUUGGAGUCCCGGAUGUGAUCAAGGACAUGACGAGGAGUCUCAAAAUGGUCGAGACGUAAAGAUUGAUAUAUUGGACGACUAUGUUUGGACACCGGAAAGGUUCCGGAAGGUUUCGAACAUUUAUCGGAGUACCGGGGGUUACCGGAACCCCCCAGGAACUAAUGGGCCUUGUUGGGCCCUAGUGGAGAGAGAGAGGGGCCGGCCAGGGCAAGAGGCGCGCCCCCUCCCCUUGAGUCCGAAUAGGACAAGGAAGGGGCGGCGGCGCCCCCCUUGCCUUUCCCCUCUCCCACUCCUUCCUUCCCCCUCCUUCUUGGACUAGGAAAGGGAAGGGCAAACCUACUUGGAGUAGGUUUCCCCCUCCUAGGGCUCGCCACCCCCUUGGUAGGCCCUCUCCUCCUCCCCCCUUUAUAUACGGAGGAGGGGGGCACACCAUAGACACAACAAUUGAUCUCUUGAUCUCUUAGCCGUGUGCGGUGGCCCCCUCCACCAUAAUCCACCUCGCUAAUUUCGUAGCGGUGCUUAGGCGAAGCCCUGCGUCGGUAGAACAUCAUCAUCGUCACCACGCCGUCGUGCUGACGAAACUCUCCCUCAACACUCGGCUGGAUCGGAGUUCAAGGGACGUCAUCGAGUUGAACGUGUGCAGAACUCGGAGGUGCCGUGCGUUCAGUACUUGAUCGGUCGGAUCGUGAAGACGUACGACUACAUCAACCGCGUUGUGCUAACGCUUCCGCUUUCGGUCUACGAGGGUACAUUGACACACUCUCGCCUCUCGUUGCUAUGCAUCACCAUGAUCUUGCGUAUGCGUAGGAAAAUUUUGAAAUUACUACGUUCCCCAAUAGUGGUAUCAGAGCCAGGUUUUAUGCGUUGAUGUAAUAUGCACGAGUAGAACACAAGUGAGUUGUGGGCGAUAUAAGUCAUACUGCUUACCAGCAUGUCACACUUUGGUUCGGCGAUAUUGUUGGAUGAAGCGGCUCGGACCGACAUUACGCGUACGCUUACGCGAGACUGGUUCUACCGACGUGCUUUGCACACAGGUGAAUUGUGGGUUUAUGAUCAAGUUUAUCUAUGAACAAUAUUUGAAUCUUCUCUGAAUUCUUUUAUGUAUGAUUGGUUAUCUUUGCAAGUCUCUUCGAAUUAUCAGUUUGGUUUGGCCUACUAGAUUGAUCUCUCUUGCAAUGGGAGAAGUGCUUAGCUUUGGGUUCAAUCUUGCGGUGUCCUUUCCCAGUGACAGUAGGGGCAGCAAGGCACGUAUUGUAUUGUUUCCAUCGAGGAUAACAAGAUGGGGUUUUUAUCAUAUUGCAUGAAUUUAUCCCUCUACAUCAUGUCAUCUUGCUUAAGGCGUUACUCUGUUUUCAUGAACUUAAUACUCUAGAUGCAUGCUGGAUAGCGGUCGAUGAGUGGAGUAAUAGUAGUAGAUGCAGGCAGGAGUUGGUCUACUUGUCUCGGACGUGAUGCCUAUAUACAUGAUCAUACCUAGAUAUUCUCAUAACUAUGCUCAGUUCUGUUAAUUGCUCAACAGUAAUUCGUUCACCCACCGUAAAAUACUUAUGCUCUUGAGAGAAGCCACUAGUGAAACCUAUGCCCCCCGGGUCUAUCUUCAUCAUAUUAAUCUUCCAAAACUUAGUUAUUUCCUUUGCUUUUUACUUUGCUUUUAUUUUACUUUGCAUCUUUAUCACAAAAAUACCAAAAAAUUAUCCUAUCAUAUCUAUCAGAUCUCACUCUCGUAAGUGACCGUGAAGGGAUUGACAACCCCUUAUCGCGUUGGUUGCGAGGAUUUAUUUGUUUUGUGUAGGUGCGAGGGACUCGCGCGUAGCCUCCUACUGGAUUGAUACCUUGGUUCUCAAAAACUGAGGGAAAUACUUACGCUACUUUGCUGCAUCACCCUUUCCUAUUCAAGGGAAAACCAACGCAGUGCUCAAGAGGUAGCAACACUCUCCCCUCUCGUCGCUAUGCAUCACCAUGAUCUUGCGUGUGCGUAGGAAAAUUUUGAAAUUACUACGUUCCCCAACAAUAAGGCCCAUAACUUCUCCCGGGGGGUUCUGGUAACCUCCCGGUACUCCAGAAAAUACCCGAACUUCUCCGGAACCAUUCCGAUGUCCGAAUAUAGCCUUCCAAUAUAUCAAUCUUUAUGUAUCGACCAUUUCGAGACUCCUCAUCAUGUUCGUGAUCUCAUCCGGGACUCUGAAAAAACUUCGGUUCAUCAAAUCACAUAACUCAUAAUACAAAUCAUCAUCGAACGUUAAGCGUGCGGACCCUACGGGUUCGAGAACUAUGUAGACAUGACCGAGACACAUCUCCGUUCAAUAACCAAUAGCGGAACCUGGAUGCUCAUAUUGGCUCCUACAUAUUCUACGAAGAUCUUUAUCGGUCAAACCGCAUAACAACAUACGUUGUUCCCUUUGUCAUCGGUAUGUUACUUGCCUGAGAUUCGAUCGUCGGUAUCAUCAUACCUAGUUCAAUCUCGUUACCGGCAUGUCUCUUUACUUGUUCCGUAAUACUUCACCCCGCAACUAACUCAUUAGUCACAUUGCUUGCAAGGCUUAUAGUGAUGAGCAUUACCGAGAGGGCCCAGAGAUACCUCUCCGAAACACGUAGCCUUCUACUGGAUUGAUACCUUGGUUCUCAAAAACUGAGGGAAAUACUUACGCUACUUUGCUGCAUCACCCUUUCCUCUUCAAGGGAAAACCAACGCGGUGCUCAAGAGGUAGCAAGAAGGAUUUCUGGCACCGUUGCCGGGGAGGUCUACGCAAAAGUCAACAUACCAAGUACCCAUCACAAUCCCUUAUCUCCCGCAUUACAUUAUUUGCCAUUUGCCUCUUGUUUUCCUCUCUCCCACUUCACCCUUGCCGUUUUAUUCGCCCUCUUUUUCGUUCGACUUCUUCCCGUAUGUAUCUUUGUUUGUGUUUCCUUGUGCCUUCUAUAUGCUUGCAUCUUCGCUUGCUGAAAAUCUAUUGAUAUGGAUCCACUUAAAGUGUUCUACUUGGAUCAUCUUCGAUCCUUAUGCGCUCGUGCUGAAACCCCAACUAGCCUAGUUGAUGGGAAAUCUUUAGAUGAGCAUGCUCAUUUUGUGCGUCAUCGUUUGUCUGAAAAAGGGAAGCUCUUAUGGUAUCAUAUAAAUAGUUUGCUAUGCUAUGCUUGGAAUCUUUGUGAAAUGUGUGAUUUUACUUGUUGCUCUAAGAACCCUAAAAAACACCAUCCCUACCUAUGUGAGUUCAAUGAUAAUGAAAUCGUAUCUUCUUAUGCAAAGGGUGUUUAUAGCUACUAUGAUAUCGAACAAAUUGAAGAAUUUGUCGUUUUUAAGGGUGCUCAUGAAGUUGCUUCUUUGAUUGAAAAUUAUGAUUUUACUCUCAACAAAUCUGAAAAUUCUGUCAUACUUAAUUAUUGCAAUGAAAACCUUGCUCAUAAUGUCUAUGUCCAAGAAUUUAUUGAAAGAAUGAACGGUUCUUUGGAAGAAAAUAAUGAUAUGCAUGAAUAUAUAGAUAAUGAUGAUUCCAAUGAUUUGGCUGAAAUAUCCCUUGAUGAACAUGAUGCUUGCUAUUCUUGUGGCCAUGAUGCCAAUAUUUAUGAAGACGAAUUUGCUAUAGUUCCUUAUGUUAAAAAUGAGAUUGUUGCUAUUGCACCCAUGCUUGAUAGUUCCCUCGAUGAAAAGCAUGAUUUCAAUGAUUUUACUAUAAACUCUCUUGAUGCCAUUUGUGCUAAUAAUAUGCAAAACCCUAAGCUUGGGGAUGCUAGUUUUGUUAUGUCUACUACUUGUUGCAAUGAUCAUGAUUGGGGUGAUUUUUCUUAUGAUCUUGAAAAUUUAUUUAAUCCCCAUGAUGAAUAUGAGAUUGAUAAUAUUGUUUGAAAUAAUAUUGAAAGUGGGUUUGGAAGAGUGUCAACUUUAGAUCCCACAUAUUUGGAGAAUAUUCAAUCUUAUCAAAUUUUUGAUAAAAGUGGGUUUGGAGAGGUCAUGACUUUAGUUAAUGUUAAUCCCACUAUUUUGGAAGAGUGUCAACUUUGCAUGCAUGUGGAUCGUGUUGAAAAUAUUUUAUGUGAUAGAUAUUUUGUUGAAUUUGCUUAUGAUCCCACAUGUAAUUAUUAUGAGAGAGGAAAAUAUGGUUGUAGAAAUUUUCAUGUUACAAAAUUACCUCUCGUUAUGUUGAGAUCGCUAUUGUUUCUCUCUUCUUCCUUGCAUAUGCUAGGAUUUGCUUGCCUUUUUAAUUUGUUUGCCUAUAAGAUGCCUAUGCAUAGGAAGUAUGUUAGACUUAGAUGUGUUUGUCAUGUGUUUUAUGAUGCUCUCUUUGUGCUUCAAUUCUUGUCUUUCUUGUGAGCAUCAUUGAAAUCUCAAUGCCUAGCUAGGGGCGUUAAACGAUGGCGCUUGUUGGGAGGCAAUCCAAUUUUAUUUUUAGUUUUUUUGCUUUUUGCUUAUGUUUAGGAAUAAAUAUUUGUUCUAGUCUCUGGUUAGAUGUGUUUUUAUGUUUUAAUUAGUGUUUGUGCCAAGUUAAACCUAUAGGAUCUUCUUGGAUGAUAGUUAUUUGAUCUUGCAGAAAUUUCCAGAAACUUUCUGUUCACGAAAACAAUUGUUAAAAAUCACCAGAACGUGAUAAAAUAGUGAUUCCAUUUGCUGCUGGUCAAUAAAUAAAUUUUCUAGGUCUUCCUAUUUUGGAUGAUUUUUUGGAGUUCCAGAAGUUUGCGUUAGUUACAGAUUACUACAGACUGUUCUGUUUUUGACAGAUUCUGUUUUUCGUGUGUUGUUUGCUUGUUUUGAUGAAUCUAUGGCUAGUAAAUAGUUUAUAAACCAUAGAGAAGUUGGAAUAAAGUAGGUUUAACACCAAUAUAAAUAAAGAAUGAGUUCAUUACAGUACCUUGAAGUGGUCUUUUGUUUUCUUUCGCUAACGGAGCUCACGAGAUUUUCUGUUAAGUUUUGUGUUGUGAAGUUUUCAAGUUUUGGGUGAAAGAUUUGAUGGAUUAUGGAACAAGGAGUGGCAAGAGCCUAAGAUUGGGGAUGUCCAUGGCACCCCCAAGAUAAUCUAUGGACACCAUAAAGCCAAAGCUUGGGGAUGCCCCGGAAGGCAUCCCCUCUUUCGUCUACUUCCAUCGGUAACUUAACUUGGAGCUAUAUUUUUAUUCACCACAUGAUAUGUGUUUUGCUUGGAGCGUCUUGUAUGAUUUGAGUCUUUGCAUUUUAGUUUACCACAAUCAUCCUUGCUGUACACACCUUGAGAGAGCCAUACAUGAUUUGGAAUUUAUUAGAAUACUCUAUGUGCUUCGCUUAUAUCUUUUGAGUUAUAUAGUUUUGCUCUAGUACUUCACUUAUAUCUUUUAGAGCACGGUGGUAGAUUUGUUUUAUAGAAACUAUUGAUCUCUCAUGCUUCACUUAGAUUAUUUUGAGAGUCUUAAAUAGCAUGGUAAUUUGCUUAAAUAAUCCUAAUAUGCUUGGUAUUCAAGAUUAGUAAAAACUUUCUUAUGAGUGUGAUGAAUACUAUGAAAAGUUUGAUGCUUGAUAAUUGUUUUGAGAUAUAAAGAUGGUGAUAUUAGAGUCAUGCUAGUUGAGUAGUUGUGAAUUUGAGAAAUACUUGUGUUAAAGUUUGUGAUUCCCGUAGCAUGCACGUAUGGUGAACCGUUAUGUGAUGAAGUCGGAGCAUGAUUUAUUUAUUGAUUGUCUUCCUUAUGAGUGGCGGUCGGGGACGAGCGAUGGUCUUUUCCUACCAAUCUAUCCCCCUAGGAGCAUGCACGUAAUACUUUGAUUUGAUAACUUGUAGAUUUUUGCAAUAAGUAUCACUACAGGAAACAGCUACUUUGCCGUCUGCCAUGGCGGACGGCAAAGGCUCGAAAGGCGGACGGCAAAGACCUUUGCCGUCAGCCGCGGACGGCAAAUGGCUCCGGCAAAGAAGGCUACGGAAACAGCUUCUUUGCCGUCUGCUUCCUGGCGGCGGACGGCAAAGGCUCUUUGCCGUCUGCGGCGGACGGCAAAGAGGGCGGACGGCAAUAUUUGCGCUGUCAGUCCGUUAAGUGGCUAACGGCAGACCUUUGCCGUCCGCCGCAGACGGCAAAGAGCCUUUGGUCUUUGCCGUCCGCCUUAUGAUGUCAUCUACACGUCACUAGAUGCCAGGUUCUUUGCCGUCUGCCACUGUAGGCAAACUGCAGGUUCUUUGCCGUCCGCCACGGACGGCAAAGUCUUUGCCGUCUGCCACUGUAGGCAAACUGACCAAAUGGGUCAGCUCCCAGGAAGCACAGUUGGCUACCACGUGGCUUCUUUGCCGUCUGCGGCGGACGGAAAAGAGCUCUUUGCCGUCGGUGGCGGACGGCAAAGAGCCUGCAUAUUGUCUGUUUUUUCUGUUUUUUGUUAAAUCCCACAAUUUGCACAGAAAAUAUAUAUGACAUAUAGAUAUAUUUCACAGGCAUUCAUCACAUAAACAAGUUCAUACAUCAUUUCAUACACAAACAAGGUCCAUCCAUCAUUUCAUACAUAAACAAGUUCCAUCCAUCAUUUCAUACAUAAAGAAGUUCCAUCCAUACAUAAAGUAGCACUCCAUAGCUAAGGUGACUAGAAUGAGAAGACAAGAAGAAGAAGAGUAGAACAAGCACUCCAUCCAGCACAUAAUGAAAUCUGCAAAAUGGCAAAAUAAGAAAGUUAGAAAUGGAUCGUUUUUGAGCUAACUUAGUUGAAAUGGAUCGUUUUUGAGGUAACUAAGGUGAAAUGGGUCGUUUUUAGCUCACUUAGGUCAAAAGGAUCGUUUUUGAGCUAACUUAGUUGAAAUGGAUCGUUUAUGAGCUAACUUUGUUGAAAUGGAUCAUUUUUUAGCUAAUUUAGUUGAAAUGGAUCGUUUUUUAGCUAACUUAGGUGAAAUGGAUCAUUUAAGAGCUAAUUUAGGUGAAAUGGAUCGUUUUUUUUGCUCACUUAGGUCAAAUGGAUCGUUUAUGAGCUAAAUUAGUUGAAAUGGAUCGUUUAUGAGAUAACCUAGGUAAGAUGGGUCAUUUUGGAGUUAACGUAGGUGAAAUGGGCCAUUUUAAAGCUAACGUAGGUAAAAUGGAUCAUUUAGGAGCUAAUCUAGGUGAAAUGGGUCAUUUUUGAGCUAACUUGGAUGAACUGCAUCAUUUAUAAGCUAACCUAGGUAAAAUGGGUCAUUUUGGAGGAAAAUAAGCUAACUCUAGGUCAUUAUGGUAAGCAUAUUGGAGGAAAUAAAGCUAAGUCUAGGUCUUUAUGCAUUUGUUAAGCAAAACACUAGAGAAACUUACCGUGAUCAGGGAGGUGUAGGACCGGGGUGGCUAGUGCCGCUACCUGGAGAAGGAUCAUGCGAUGCGUUUCUGGAGUUAAGCUGCAACAAAGAUCAUUUUCAAUGUCUCGUUAGCAUUACGACACUCAAAUGUUGAGACUACCAACUAAUGUCCAUUCAAACUAAACUCACCGUGCUCCCAGGAGCAAUCACUGGCAUCGGCGGAGCGGGCUGACCGGACUUCUCGCACACAGACUGCACAUUUGGUUUUCAGAACAGAGUCAUACUAGUUAGUAAUGAGACUCAAAUGUUAAGACUAGCAAGUAAUCUGCAGAAGAAACUUACCACAAGGAGCUCGUACAUGGCCCUUGCCUGCAUGUCAUUCCGUGCCCUCUCCUCCUCCAUCAUCUUUCUCGUCCUCUCCUCCAUCUCCCGCUGCCUCUCCGCCGCCUCCGCCAGAAGUUUCUCCGUUCUAUCUCUCUCAGUCUGUAUAGCAGCCUGCAACACCACUCACAUGACCAUUUGUAAUCAUUGAUGGAAGCGCACACAAUGUAAUGGAGACAGAUAACUGAGUACGUAUCACUAACCUUGAUGACGAGUUGCACUGGCCGUUCACGAGGCCUUAUCUCAGGAGCGGAGCUCGACUGGCGCGCCUUGAUCUCCGAGAGAGUGCUAGGACAACGGAUAAGUCCAUCUCCAAUGGCUAUGGAGCCAUGGGACCUCCCGCCACCAGAUAUCAUCACCAGCUCUGGAUCAAUGGGACCCUGGCUCGGGUUAAAGUCCUCCCCUUUCCUCGCCUUCCCCUCAUCUCUAUAUCUCACGAGCUUGUUGUGGGAGGAGAUGUUGGUGAAGUUGUUUGCAUCAUCGAGGUCAGACUGAGAGAAAGCCUUGACUUUCUUGUAAGAGCCAGUGUGGGCCAUGGCAUACAGGUCGUACACCUCUGGCACCUUAUCCGCCUUAUUGUGGCGUGCCUGAAAGAGAGAAGCAAUGAAAGUUAGUAAUUAAAGGGCUCAAGCUAGCAUGAUGAAUGAAUUGCAUGAAUCAUGAAGCAAACCACAUACCCAGUUGCGCCCGAACUGAUAUAAGUUGGAGCUGCCUUGAUGGUGUGGCACACCUUCCAUUUGGGCACGUUUGUCCUUGGCCUGGUUGUGGAGGGCUAGCCAUUCUUAUGAGCACCACUCAUCGACCAACACCUCCCAACAAUCCAUCCGAUCCGCACACCAUCUCGGAGGCGCCUAAGUUAGCAAAUAGAAACUUGAGCGCUACGGCUAAGAAUUACUAAAUGAAGGAACUUAAGUAGAAGGCCUUAAGAAUUACCUUCAUGUACUGCUCCUUACUCAGGAACUUAUCGCGGCACGCCGGCUUGGUCUUCUUGAUACCACGCAAGGCGUAGUAGUCUCGAACAGCCUACACCCGAGCCUCGUGCCGUAAGUUCUGGAGUAGGCGCUUGCAGACGUUCUCGAUAACAUUUGCGCAGUCCUCCUCGUAUCCCUCCUCACACCUGUAGAAUGUCUGCAAUCAAAUGAGACAAUAUUGAUUAGUACAAUUAAUAACUAGCUAGUUGAAGAUUUUGAAAUGUGUAAAGGAGAAAUUACCCAGAAUGUCCUGAUCACCAUGUCUGCCCUCGUGUCGCACACGACACCGUCGAUAAUGACAUCCGGCGGGGCCGGGGCAGCCACGUAGUGCUCCCAGCUCAACCCAAGCUCUGGAAGCCGACCCUCACCAGGCAACGUGACAAACCCCGGGAAGUUUUGCCGGCAAAGAACUCCAAGGACGGAGUUGGGCCGGCGGACACUAUGAUGGUGGUCCCAACCCCUGCAGCAUGACAAGGCCAACGCAUUAGUUAUUUGAAGAAAUGUGAAUGCAGAAGGUACAAAAAUUUUAAAUGCACUUACGUACCUCUCCCCAUCAGGGAAGAUCAACCACCUCUGCUCGCGGGUCGCCGGCACGGACGGGAGCCGUGUAGCACCACGCUGGUAGACGGUGCCACCCUCCUCCUCAAGAUCAGUCGGCUCCCCGCCAUCAUCAGCAUGGCCACUCGGCUCCUCGGGCUGAUCCGGCCAGGUACCCCAUCCGGACGUGUGCUCCUCCGGGGUCUCGUGGGCCGAACUCUCGUGGGCCGAAGGCCAGUCGACCCGAGGCUCGUGGGCCCAAGACCCGUGGACCGGAGGCUCGUGGACCGGAGUCCGUGUAGCCUCCUCCUCGGACGAGUCCACCCUAGCAGUCACGUGCUCGGGUGAAACAGCUGGGGGUGGCGGCGAGGAAGGCGCCCUAGCAGUCACCCUACCUCCUCUCCCGCGACCACGUGCCCCACCUCCUCUCUUCCUACCUCGUCCCCUGCUGGGCACCGCGGUGGACGAAGAAGGUCCCGGCGGUGUGGACAUACUGUCCAGCAACGCUCGGCGAAGAGGUACGUCUGGAAUCGAAGACCUCAGACCACGCGCCGAGGAAGAAGGAGCCUUGGCGCGCUCCCGACCAGCGCCCACCAUCUUUCAACACCUGCCAUGACAAACAGUAAACGAAAUUAGUACAACAUAAAAAAAAGACCGACAUGAAUAAUAAUAUGUGUAUCACUUAAGUGUAUCAUCAUCAAGUACAACAUUAAAAAAUUUAAUACCUGACACUACUAAUAAUCUCGAUCAGUAUCAUCAAUAAAUGCAUAAUCAUCAUCAUCACUAUAAUCAAUGACGGGCUCAUAGGGUUCAGUGGCAUCAACAUGUGCAAGGCCACCUUGACGUAAUCGGUCAAGCAAUGACAGGUCAUCCGCAGCAGUAACCUCUUCUUGUUCCGGCUCUUCUUGUUCCUCCUCUGGGGUGAUGUCGGAUUCACUGUCACUGUCUACUUCAAUGUUUUGGGGUGAAGUAUAGCGGUUCUUGAAACGCUUUUUGGAAAGACGUGUCUCUUGGAAGAAUUCUCCUUCAUAUGUGUCUGGGUUAAUGUGAGGUUCAUAAUCCUCUUCCUUUGGGGGAGAUAGUCUACACGUGGCGGCACUUCAUAAACGACAUCCCAACCUUUCAGAUUUGGAUUAGUUUGGCAGGCCCACGGUAGAUAGAAUACUUGGGUUGCCUGUUGAGCCGUAAUAUAGACAUCAGGAACAUCUAAAUGGGUGCUUUGGUUGAUUUCAACUAGCCCUAUAUGUUCAUGAGUUCUUCUAGUCUCCUUCGGCUGAAACCAAUAACAUUUGAAGACUACGACAUUCGGUGGGUUUUCACCAUAGAAUAGAAGUUCAUAAAUUGCUUCAACUCUCCCAUAAUACUCGGUACCUCCUUCGCCGAUAGCAGAUACACAACAAUUUGUAGACUUUCGGUCGGCCAUAGAUAGCUCUUUGCCAUAGGUACGAAAGCGAUACCCGUUGAUGUCGUAUUUGUCAAAUGAACGGACCUUAUAGUCAAAACCAUUAGCGACUUGUCUCAAUUCGGCAUCCACAGACUCUGAAUUAGCCUACAAGUUUAAUAUGAAAGGAUUGUUGCAUUACGCACAAAUUAGCGAAUGAAACCGGGAUAGCCGCCUACAAAUUAGCCUACAAGUCUAAUAGAAAUUACCGUUUGUUUGAACCAAGAGAUGAAACCGGGAUAGCCGCCACCUUGCUUUGCGAGAAGCUCAUACUCUUCGACAGAAUCCUUUUGGAUCACCGCUCCAUACGAGAAUAAGGCGACGUAUCGACUGUAUGAAAUAUCCAGGAAUAAGAGCAGUUCAAAGGAAAUAGAAGUUGCGAAACUAUGUACCGAGAACUUACUCGAUGUACGGCCGCACUUCUAUCAGGUUGUUGAAGAUAUACAACGAAAUGGUCCGCCAUCGUUCGUUAUCCAAAGAUACUGGAUUUGAAACACUGGCUGGUGCGAGAUUCCCUUUGAAUAGGCUGAGGUUGGAUCCACCCUUUUUAGGGUCGUCAGCAUUGUACCGAGGCUUCGGAUUAUGCAAAUGACGAUUUUUGGCUUCGUAGUGUGCUGUCACGAAGUUUGCCGCCUCCUCAGUGAUGAAUGCCUCAGCCAUCGAUGCUUCAAUUCUACGUUUAUUUUUACAUUUUUGUCGAAGCGUCUUCUGCAUCCUCUCAGUUGGGUAGCACCAACGAUUUUGCAUGGGCCCCCCAAUCUUGCCUCGGUCGGGAGAUGCAAAAUCAAAUGUUGCAUUGGAUUAAAGAAGCCCGGUGGAAAGAUCUUCUCUAACUUGCAGAUCAACUCCGGCGCCAACUCUUCCAUUUCUUCUAGCACGCCAGGCGAUAGUUCUUUCGCACAAAGAACACGGAAGAAAUAGCUGAGUUCUGCUAGUACUAGCCAUUCAUCCUCAGGGAUGAAGCCACCUAACAUCACCGGCAUUACCCGCUCAAUCCAUAUGUGCCAAUCAUGACUCUUGAGACCAAAUAUCUUCAAUUUAUCAAGACUGGCUCCCCUCUGUAGAUUCGCUGCAUACCCAUCGGGGAACAUCAACUGCAUUUUCACCCACAAGAUAAUUUCCCUCAUAGCCGGCCUUCCAAGAUUGAACCAUGCCUUUGGCUUCGUCCAGUUCUGCUUUCCUUUCGGUUCUUUCAUGUUUUGUAACGGCCUAUCACAUAGCGCCUCCAGAUCGACUCUAGCCUUAGUAUUAUCCUUUGACUUCCCAUCUAUGCCGAACAAUGUACCAAAAAGUGCCUCGGCGAUAUUCUUCUCAAUGUGCAUCACGUCGAUGUUGUGUGGGCAAAGGAGGUCUUUGAAGUAAGGCAGAUCCCAUAAGCAUGUUUUGUGAGUCCAGGCGUGCUUAGAAUUAUACCCCUUGAAGUACCCUGGACGCUCGGGAUCUGGCUCGAGAGCGUUUAACUGAUCCAGGGUCUGUUGGCCUGUCAAUGCAUGUGGUGCAGAGUUUUUGACAACUCUACCUCUGAUGAAGUUCUUCUUGUCUUUCCUGAACUUAUGGCGAGGAUUCAGGAACUCUCUAUGCAUGUCGAAGCAAGAAAACUUGCGACCGGCCUGAAGCCAACGAAACUCAAGAGCUCCCUUGCAUGUGGGGCACGGGAACCUUCCAUGCACACACCAGCCAACGAAUAGCGCAUACGCCGGCAAGUCAUGCGUCGAGUACAUGUACCAGACAUGCAUUAUGAAGUUCCGUUUGCUAUAGGCAUCGUAUGUCUUGAACCCAUUAUCCCAGGCUUCUUGCAAUUCGUCCUUAAGCGGUUGCAUGUACACAUUCAUAUUUUUCCCCGGAUAGUUGGGCCCUGGAAUUAUCAACGUCAGGAAAAUGUUCUUUCUUUGCAUAAUCUGUCCGGGGGGGAGAUUGAGUGGAAAGACAAAUACGGGCCAACAACUGUAUUGGGCUGCCGUCAUACCAAACACACUAAACCCAUCCGUGCUGAUGCCGACUCGAGGAUGCCUCGGAUCUGCCGCUUUGUCACCAUGUAAUUCAUCAAACUUUUUCCACGCAACACCAUCCGAUGUGUGUACAAUCAUCAGAUUCCCAUCUGCAUCUAGUUCGGUUCUUUUGCCCGUUUUGUGCCAUGUCAUCUGUCUGGCCGUCUCUUCGACCAUGAAAAGACAUUGAAGUCUUGGUACGAUUGGCAUAUACCGAAGAACACUAACGGGGAUUUUGGUCUGUGUCUUCUCACCCAUACCGUUGUCUACCACAACAUACCUGGAAGACUUGCAAAUGGGACAACAGUUCAAGUCCGCAUAGUCAAGCCUAAACAAGACACAUCCUUUCUCACAGGCAUGUAUCUUAUCAUAGGGCAUCUUCAGUGCACGGAGGAUUUUGUCCGACUGGUACAGGUUUGCAGGCAUUACAUGGCCUUUGGGUAGAAAGCGUCCAAAUACUGUCAUCAUUGCAUCAUAGCAUUCUCUGCCCAAGUUGAACUGAGCCUUCAGAGCCAUUACUUGUGAGAUGGCAUCCAAAUGACAAAGCUCAGUGUGCUCAUGGAGUGGACGUUUUGCAGACUCCAACAUUUCAUUGAAGGCCUUUGCAGAUUCCUCCAUCUCCUCGUCCGAAUCCCGAGCAUCAUCAAAGUCUUGCACCAUGUUUUCCAUACCGGUACCAUGCUCGUCGGUGCGACGACGAUCCACCUCGGCUCGGUCACGUUGGGCAGACUCACCAUGAAAUGUCCACACCGUAUAAUCGGGCGUAAAACCACUCUUCUGCAGGUGUUUGCCCAUUUCAGCCUCUGUCCUCUUUUCCCAAUUGCCGCACCGUAAACAGGGGCACCAGGUUUUCCUCUGGCCAUUUGCAAAUGCGGCUCGCACAAACCCCUUGGUUUUUGUGAACCAUUCAGUGCUCCAUUUGUUCUGACCAGUGUGACCGGUGUACAUCCACGCACGAUCACUCAUCUUGACUUUCAGAGCUACUAGACACACAACAAAUAUAUAUAUAUAAUUCACCAUGUAUGUAUUCAUCAGUUGAUCUACUNNNNNNNNNNNNNNNNNNNNNNNNNNNNNNNNNNNNNNNNNNNNNNNNNNNNNNNNNNNNNNNNNNNNNNNNNNNNNNNNNNNNNNNNNNNNNNNNNNNNNNNNNNNNNNNNNNNNNNNNNNNNNNNNNNNNNNNNNNNNNNNNNNNNNNNNNNNNNNNNNNNNNNNNNNNNNNNNNNNNNNNNNNNNNNNNNNNNNNNNNNNNNNNNNNNNNNNNNNNNNNNNNNNNNNNNNNNNNNNNNNNNNNNNNNNNNNNNNNNNNNNNNNNNNNNNNNNNNNNNNNNNNNNNNNNNNNNNNNNNNNNNNNNNNNNNNNNNNNNNNNNNNNNNNNNNNNNNNNNNNNNNNNNNNNNNNNNNNNNNNNNNNNNNNNNNNNNNNNNNNNNNNNNNNNNNNNNNNNNNNNNNNNNNNNNNNNNNNNNNNNNNNNNNNNNNNNNNNNNNNNNNNNNNNNNNNNNNNNNNNNNNNNNNNNNNNNNNNNNNNNNNNNNNNNNNNNNNNNNNNNNNNNNNNNNNNNNNNNNNNNNNNNNNNNNNNNNNNNNNNNNNNNNNNNNNNNNNNNNNNNNNNNNNNNNNNNNNNNNNNNNNNNNNNNNNNNNNNNNNNNNNNNNNNNNNNNNNNNNNNNNNNNNNNNNNNNNNNNNNNNNNNNNNNNNNNNNNNNNNNNNNNNNNNNNNNNNNNNNNNNNNNNNNNNNNNNNNNNNNNNNNNNNNNNNNNNNNNNNNNNNNNNNNNNNNNNNNNNNNNNNNNNNNNNNNNNNNNNNNNNNNNNNNNNNNNNNNNNNNNNNNNNNNNNNNNNNNNNNNNNNNNNNNNNNNNNNNNNNNNNNCGGGAUGUCGGGGUCGGGGUGCCGUGUCGGUGUCGGGGUCGGGGUGUCGGGUCAGGCUCGGGGUCGGGGUGUCGGGGUCGGGGUCUAGGGGUCGUGGUGUCGUGUCGGGGUGCCGCGUCGGGGUCGGGGUGCCGUGUCGGGUCGGGGUUUUUUCCUCUUUUUUCCUUUUCUUCUUCUUCCUAUUCUUCCUUUUCUUCCUCUUCUUCUUUUUUCUUCUCCUCCUCCUCUUCUUCUUCUUCCUUUCCUUUUUCCUCUUCUUCUUCUCCUCCUCUCCUCUUUUUUCUUCUUCUUCUUCNNNNNNNNNNNNNNNNNNNNNNNNNNNNNNNNNNNNNNNNNNNNNNNNNNNNNNNNNNNNNNNNNNNNNNNNNNNNNNNNNNNNNNNNNNNNNNNNNNNNNNNNNNNNNNNNNNNNNNNNNNNNNNNNNNNNNNNNNNNNNNNNNNNNNNNNNNNNNNNNNNNNNNNNNNNNNNNNNNNNNNNNNNNNNNNNNNNNNNNNNNNNNNNNNNNNNNNNNNNNNNNNNNNNNNNNNNNNNNNNNNNNNNNNNNNNNNNNNNNNNNNNNNNNNNNNNNNNNNNNNNNNNNNNNNNNNNNNNNNNNNNNNNNNNNNNNNNNNNNNNNNNNNNNNNNNNNNNNNNNNNNNNNNNNNNNNNNNNNNNNNNNNNNNNNNNNNNNNNNNNNNNNNNNNNNNNNNNNNNNNNNNNNNNNNNNNNNNNNNNNNNNNNNNNNNNNNNNNNNNNNNNNNNNNNNNNNNNNNNNNNNNNNNNNNNNNNNNNNNNNNNNNNNNNNNNNNNNNNNNNNNNNNNNNNNNNNNNNNNNNNNNNNNNNNNNNNNNNNNNNNNNNNNNNNNNNNNNNNNNNNNNNNNNNNNNNNNNNNNNNNNNNNNNNNNNNNNNNNNNNNNNNNNNNNNNNNNNNNNNNNNNNNNNNNNNNNNNNNNNNNNNNNNNNNNNNNNNNNNNNNNNNNNNNNNNNNNNNNNNNNNNNNNNNNNNNNNNNNNNNNNNNNNNNNNNNNNNNNNNNNNNNNNNNNNNNNNNNNNNNNNNNNNNNNNNNNNNNNNNNNNNNNNNNNNNNNNNNNNNNNNNNNNNNNNNNNNNNNNNNNNNNNNNNNNNNNNNNNNNNNNNNNNNNNNNNNNNNNNNNNNNNNNNNNNNNNNNNNNNNNNNNNNNNNNNNNNNNNNNNNNNNNNNNNNNNNNNNNNNNNNNNNNNNNNNNNNNNNNNNNNNNNNNNNNNNNNNNNNNNNNNNNNNNNNNNNNNNNNNNNNNNNNNNNNNNNNNNNNNNNNNNNNNNNNNNNNNNNNNNNNNNNNNNNNNNNNNNNNNNNNNNNNNNNNNNNNNNNNNNNNNNNNNNNNNNNNNNNNNNNNNNNNNNNNNNNNNNNNNNNNNNNNNNNNNNNNNNNNNNNNNNNNNNNNNNNNNNNNNNNNNNNNNNNNNNNNNNNNNNNNNNNNNNNNNNNNNNNNNNNNNNNNNNNNNNNNNNNNNNNNNNNNNNNNNNNNNNNNNNNNNNNNNNNNNNNNNNNNNNNNNNNNNNNNNNNNNNNNNNNNNNNNNNNNNNNNNNNNNNNNNNNNNNNNNNNNNNNNNNNNNNNNNNNNNNNNNNNNNNNNNNNNNNNNNNNNNNNNNNNNNNNNNNNNNNNNNNNNNNNNNNNNNNNNNNNNNNNNNNNNNNNNNNNNNNNNNNNNNNNNNNNNNNNNNNNNNNNNNNNNNNNNNNNNNNNNNNNNNNNNNNNNNNNNNNNNNNNNNNNNNNNNNNNNNNNNNNNNNNNNNNNNNNNNNNNNNNNNNNNNNNNNNNNNNNNNGGCGGCGGCGCGCGGCAGGCGGCGGCGUGGGAGGAGAAAAACGGGGGCGUGGGAGGGAGAGGGAAGAAGCGAGUAACGGGCGGGGGUACGGGCCGUUAGGUAGUAGGCUCUUUGCCGUCCGCCCCCCUUUGCCGUCCGCUUUUUUGCCUCUUUGCCGUCAGCUAGCGGACGGCAAAGAGGUGGCCCGUUAAGUUUUUCAAAAACGGGCGGGGGGUGGGGGCCAUCUCACUCUUUGCUGUCCGCCAGCGGACGGCAAAGAUUCUUUGCCGUCAGCUGGCCGACGGCAAAGAGCUGGCAGACGGCAAAGAGCUUCUUUGCCGUCUGCUUUUGGGUAGCUGAUGGCAAAGAGCUGGCAGACGGCAAAGAGCUUCUUUGCCGUCAGCUAGCAGACGGCAAAGAGCUGGCAGAUGGCAAAUUAGCUGAUUCCAGUAGUGUAUAUGAGUUCUUCAUUACUAAUGUUGAGUCCAUGGAUCAUAUGCACUUUCUUCCUUCCACUAUUGCUAGCCUUUCUAAUACCGCGCACUUUUCGCCUGUAUCAUACACCCACCAUAAACCUUCCUCAAAACAGCCACCAUACCUACCUAUCAUGACAUUUCCAUAGCCAUUCCGAGAUAUAUUGCCAUGCAACUUUCCACCAUUCCGUUUAUUAUGACACGCUCCAUCAUUGUUAUAUUGCUUAGCAUGAUCAUGUAGUUGACAUCGUAUUUGUGGCAAAGCCACCGUUCACAAUUCUUUCAUACAUGUCUCUCUUGAUUCAUUGCAUAUCCAAGUACACCGCCCGAGGCAUUCAUAUAGAGUCAUAUUUUGUUCUAAGUAUCGAGUUGUAAUUGUUGAGUUGUAAGAAAAUACAGUGUGAUGAUCUUCAUUUUUAGAGCAUUGUCCCAAGUGAGGAAAAGGAUGAUGGAGACCAUGAUUCCCCCACAAGUCGGGAUGAGACUCCGGACGAAAAAAAAGAGAAAAAAAGAGGCCAUAAAAAAAAAGAAAAGGCCCAAAUAAAAAAAUGAGAGAAAAAGAGAGAAGGGACAAUGUUACUAUCCUUUUACCACACUUGUGCUUCAAAGUAGCACCAUGAUCUUUAUGAUAGAGAGUCUCUCAUUUUGUCACUUUCAUAUACUAGUGGGAAUUUUUCAUUAUAGAACUUGGCUUGUAUAUUCCAAUGAUGGGCUUCCUCAAAAUGCCCUAGGUCUUCGUGAGCAAGCGAGUUGGAUGCACACCCACUUAGUUUCUUUUGUUGAGCUUUCAUAUACUUAUAACUCUAGUGCAUCAGUUGCAUGGCAAUCCCUACUCACUCACAUUGAUAUCUAUUGGUGGGCAUCUCCAUAGCCCGUUGAUACGCCUAGUUGAUGUGAGACUAUCUUCUCCCUUUUUGUCUUCUCCACAACCACCAUUCUAUUCCAUAUAUAGUGCUAUGUCCAUGGCUCACGCUCAUGUAUUGCGUGAAGAUUGAAAAAGUUUGAGAACGACAAAGGUAUGAAACAAUUGCUUGGCUUGUCAUCGGGGUUGUGCAUGAUUUAAAUACUUUGUGUGGUGAAGAUAGAGCAUAGCCAGACUAUAUGAUUUUCUAGGGAUAACUUUCUUUGACCAUGUUAUUUUAAGAAGACAUGAUUGCUUUGUUAGUAUGCUUGAAGUAUUAUUAUUUUUAUGUCAAUAUUAAACUUUUGUCUUGAAUCUUUCGGAUCUGAAUAUUCAUACCACAAUUAAGAAGAAUUACAUUGAAAUUAUGCAAAGUAGCACUCCGCAUCAAAAAUUCUGUUUUUAUCAUUUACCUACUCGAGGACGAGCAGGAAUUAAGCUUGGGGAUGCUUCAUACGUCUCCAACGUAUCUAUAAUUUUUGAUUGCUCCAUGCUAUAUUAUCUACUGUUUUGGACAUUAUUGGGCUUUAUUAUUCACUUUUAUAUUAUUUUUGGGACUAACCUAUUAACUGGAGGCCCAGCCCUGAAUUGCUGUUUUUUGCCUAUUUCAGAGUUUCACAGAAAAGGAAUAUCAAAUGGAGUCCAAACGGAAUGAAACCUUCGGGAACGUGAUUUUUAGGAAGAAUAUGAUCUAGGAGACUUGGACCAUACGUCAAGAAACAAAAGAGGAGGCGACGAGGUAGGGUGGCGCGCCUACCCCCCCAGGACGCGCCCUCCACCCUCGUGGGCCCCCUAUUGCUCAACCGACGUACUCCUUCCUCCUAUAUAUACCUACGUACCCCCAAACGAUCAGAUACGGAGCCAAAAACCUAAUUCCACCGCCGCAACCUUCUGUACCCACGAGAUCCCAUCUUGGGGCCUGUCCCGGAGCUCCACCGGAGGGGGCAUCAAUCACGGAGGGCUUCUACAUCAUCACCAUAGCCCCUCCGAUGAAGUGUGAGAAGUUUACCUCAGACCUUCGGGUCCAUAGUUAGUAGCUAGAUGGCUUCUUCUCUCUUUUUGGAUCUCAAUACAAUGUUCUCCCCCUCUCUCGUGGAGAUCUAUUCGAUGUAAUCUUCUUUUUGCGGUGUGUUUGUUGAGACCGAUGAAUUUUGGGGGUAUGAUCAAGUUUAUCUAUGAACAAUAUUUGAAUCUUCUCUGAAUUCUUUUAUGUAUGAUUGGUUAUCUUUGCAAGUCUCUUCGAAUUAUCAGUUUGGUUUGGCCUACUAGAUUGAUCUUUCUUGCAAUGGGAGAAGUGCUUAUCUUUGGGUUCAAUCUUGCGGUGUCCUUUCCCAGUGACAGUAGGGGCAGCAAGGCACGUAUUGUAUUGUUUCCAUCGAGGAUAACAAGAUGGGGUUUUUAUCAUAUUGCAUGAAUUUAUCCCUCUACAUCAUGUCAUCUUGCUUAAGGCGUUACUCUGUUUUCAUGAACUUAAUACUCUAGAUGCAUGCUGGAUAGCGGUCGAUGAGUGGAGUAAUAGUAGUAGAUGCAGGCAGGAGUCAGUCUACUUGUCUCGGACGUGAUGCCUAUAUACAUGAUCAUACCUAGAUAUUCUCAUAACUAUGCUCAAUUCUGUAAAUUGCUCAACAAUAAUUCGUUCACCCACCGUAAAAUACUUAUGCUCUUGAGAGAAGCCACUAGUGAAAAUUGUGGUCCCCGGGUCUAUCUUCAUCAUAUUAAUCUUCCAACACUUAGUUAUUUCCUUUGCUUUUUUACUUUGCUUUUAUUUUACUUUGCAUCUUUAUCACAAAAAUACCAAAAAUAUUAUCCUAUCAUAUCUAUCAGAUCUCACUCUCGUAAGUGACCGUGAAGGGCUUGACAACCCCUUAUCACGUUGGUUGCGAGGAUUUAUUUGUUAUGUGUAGGUGCGAGGGACUCGCGCGUAGCCUCCUACUAGAUUGAUACCUUGGUUCUCAAAAACUGAGGGAAAUACUUACGCUACUUUGCUGCAUCACCCUUUCCUAUUCAAGGGAAAACCAACGCAGUGCUCAAGAGGUAGCAACACUCUCCCCUCUCGUCGCUAUGCGUCACCAUGAUCUUGCGUGUGCGUAGGAAAAUUUUGAAAUUACUACGUUCCCCAACAAUAAGGCCCAUAACUUCUCCCGGGGGGUUCUGGUAACCUCCCGGUACUCCAGAAAAUACCCGAACUUCUCCGGAACCAUUCCGAUGUCCGAAUAUAGCCUUCCAAUAUAUCAAUAUUUAUGUAUCGACUAUUUAGAGACUCCUCGUCAUGUCCGUGAUCUCAUCCGGGACUCCGAACAAACUUCGGUUCAUCAAAUCACAUAACUCAUAAUACAAAUCAUCAUGGAACGUUAAGCGUGCGGACCCUACGGGUUCGAGAACUAUGUAGACAUGACCGAGACACAUCUCCGUUCAAUAACCAAUAGUGGAACCUGGAUGCUCAUAUUGGCUCCUACAUAUUCUACGAAGAUCUUUAUCGGUCAAACCGCAUAACAACAUACGUUCUUCCCUUUAUCAUCGGUAUGUUACUUGCCUGAGAUUCGAUCGUCGGUAUCAUCAUACCUAGUUCAAUCUCGUUACCGGCAAGUCUCUUUACUUGUUCCGUAAUACUUCACCCCGCAACUAACUCAUUAGUCACAUUGCUUGCAAGGCUUAUAGUGAUGAGCAUUACCGAGAGGGCCUAGAGAUACCUCUCCGAAACACGGAGUGACAAAUCCUAAUCUUGAUCUAUGCCAACCCAACAAAUACCUUCAGAGACACUUGUAGAGCAUCUUUAUAAUCACCCAUUUACGUUGUGACGUUUGAUACACACAAAGUGUUUCUCCGGUAUUCGGGAGUUGCAUAAUCUCAUAGUCUGAGGAACAUGUAUAAGUCAUGAAGAAAGCAGUAGCAAUGAAACUAUAACGAUCAUAAUGCUAAGCUAACGAAUGGGUCUUGUCCAUCACAUCAUUCUCCUAAUGAUGUGAUCCCGUUCAUCAAAUGACAACACAUGUCUAUGGUUAGGAAACAUAACCAUCUUUGAUAAACGAGCUAGUCAAGUAGAGGCAUACUAGGGACACUUAUGUUUUGUCUAUGUAUUCACACAUGUACUAAGUUUCCGGUUAAUACAAUUAUAGCAUGAAUAAUAAAAUUUUAUCAUGAAAUGAGGAAAUAAAUAAUAACUUUAUUAUUGCCUCUAGGGCAUAUUUCCUUCAAUUUACACCUUCGGGCAUAAUUCCUUAUAUAAAGAAUUCCUGAACCGCCUUAGCAAUGUCCUGCUUAAUUAAACCCCAAUUCCUCUGAAAGAAUCUUGCAGGAAAACCAUCCGGACCUGGUGCUUUUAGUGGACCUAUCUGAAAAAUGGCGUCACUAAUCUCUUCCUCAGAGAACGGUUUACACAAUUCCUCAUUCAUAUCAUCAUUGACGAGGGGUUUCACCAAGGGAAUAAUACGAGAGGGAUCAACAUUAGUAUCACAAGAAUAAAGAUGCUGAAAGAAGGAAUUUGUAAUACCAAUGAUUUCAUCCACAUUCUCAGUAAUAGACCCAUCAUUCCUUUUAAUAGCGGAAAUAUUAUUUUUCUUCACCCUCCAAGAAGCCUUUCUCUGAAAGAACUUCGUGUUACGGUCCCCCAAAAUCAUUUUCUCAAUGCAAGACCUUUGCUUCCACAUGACUUCUUCCUUUAACAGAAGUUCAUCCAUCUCCAGGAGAAUUUUCCUUCUCUCCAUCACGGCUGCCCUAUCACUUCUUUUAAACAGAAGAUUUAAUCUUUUACGAGCAGCCUCCAUCUUUUUUGGGACACAACCAGUAUGCUCCUGACUCCAAUAGUGCAGGUCUUUCAUUAAUUUAUUGAGAUUAGUCACCACAUCCUUUAAAUUCCUAACUUGCGAACUAUUGCUCCAAAACGCCCUAACCUGUUCAUCCAAAGCCAUACUCUCCCUCUCCCAAAAAGCUUCAUAUCUCAAAUGCUUGUUAAUAACGACAUUAGGCCGACUACACAUCAACUGAAUAAACAAAGGAUAAUGGUCUGACCUUGAGGAAAUAACAUGUUGGACCUUGCACUGUGGGAACAUAGCAGUCCAUUGGGGGCAUGCCACCGCACGAUCAAGACGCACUUUCACAUUUCGGAGGCCAUCCUGCUUAUUAUCAUACAUCCAAGGCGCUCCAUGAAAACCCAAAUCGAAUAAUUGCAAUACGAAAGAAGCUCCCGGAAAUUUGCCAUGAGCUUAGGAGAUCUUUUAGUACGAGAAAAAUGCUCAUACUGCCACAUAGCUUCAUUAAAAUCGCCGACCAUAAACCAGGGACCAGAACCCUGAAGUUUAACUCGUCUCAAAAGCUCCCACAUGACAUACCUUUGGGUCGCCUUUGGUUCUCCAUAAACACAAGUGCAUCUCCAUCUUGAUCCAUCACUCUUACAUAUGUACAGAUCAAUAAAAUGGUCCCCAAAUUUGUUUAACUCCACAGAGAAGCUAUCAUCCCAGAAAAUCGCUAAACCACCACCUUUGCCUUUACCCGAAACAGAAAAUACAUUUUUCAUACCCAAACGGUACCGCAAACUUUCAACAUAAUCUUUAUUUUGCCUAGUCUCAGAAAGAAAAAUGAUGUUGGGUAGGUAAGCUUUAUUAAUACAAACUAAUUCUUGAACUGUACGAGGCCGACCCAGCCCUCUACAGUUCCAACUGAUUAUUUUCAUAGCUCCCGACGGGCGUCAUCACACGCGCCCGUCAGUUGACCAACAGCCCCCGGGUCGGUAGCAUCCUUAACAGAGCCCUCAUCAUCUUUUCCCAUCCCCACAGACUCUCUCCUUCUACCGUGAGCCACCUCCUCUCCACCAUCUACCUCUUUUGUUACAUGCACCAUAUUCCCAUCUAUGCCUACCCGGGUCUCCACCCUCUCCCCACACACUUUUUUUACAAGCAGGUGGCACUACAUUGACUCCCUUGGAUUCUACACUCUCAGAGCUAGUACUUUUAAAACCGACCACAAGGUCCUCGCCAUCAGACAUGCGUCUCUUGUUGCCCGCCGAGCUUAUGAGAAUAUCAGCAAAAGCCGCCUUGCCACUGGAAAGGUCGCUACCACUAUUCGGGGGUGUAGGGACCCCAAACUGGACAUGCGUCGCGCAAGCUGCCGGCACGACAUCACGUUCCUCUUGCUCCUCCCUAUGCAGUCUUCUCCACCAUGCCACGUUCGUCGAGCCACCAGGGGUAGCCAGACUAAGGCCGCCACCCCCAGCAGCCUUGUCCACCUUGACGCACGCUCCAGCAGCAUCUUGAGGCAUCACGCCGAACGGAGGGAGUAAGAAGUACACAGGGAAUCACAUCGACGUUAAUCCUUGCACCUACCAGCUACCACCUCUGUUUUUAAAUCUAAGACGUUUUUGCAGUUUACUCAUAACAGAGGGUGUAGUAUUUAUUUUUGAAAGAAUUCUACCUACGAACUACUCCACAAUGCAAGGAUUCGAGCAUCAAACACCAGAUGCUUACAAGAUCUUCUAGGCUACCUUUUCCAGUCCUAGCCAACCCUCCACCGAAAGACCAUCGUCGACUCAGCUUCAUGCCCUCACUGCGAGAUAUGAUAUUUGAUAUGAGAUUGCUCACCACCCUCGCCGGGUGGUUGACGCCCCUUACGAUUCUACGGGGAUGUUUAAUUCCCACAUAGCACUUCUUUGUCCCCUAGUUGCUCAUGUUUAGCUGAAUCUCGGCAUUGUGGAUCCAUCCUGCACGGACAUCAUCAUGACGUCUGCUCGCCCCUGGCCUCAACCCCAACAUCUGACCAUGGGUGGAUCUCAUCAUUCUACGGAAUAUAUAGGACUCAACAAACACCAUGGUUUUCAACUCCGACAUUUUUUAAUCUCGAAUCACUAUUUGGAAUUUUGUGCAUGGUUUCUCCCUAUGGACCACACAGUUAAAAGCCUUAGCAAAAAGGGGAUAUUUCCAAGUUUUGCCCGUUAUUCCUAUCCUCCCGCCUUGAUGCUCCCAUGUAAUGGAUACUAUUGUGUUUGAUUGGAGUAAUAUAUUCAGGUGGGGAACCUCUUCCCCCAUGUCCGUUAAAAAAAUAUCAUUUUUCAUUCCCGACUUCUCUAGCUGAACUGACGACGAGGCUGGCACGGGUGGGGAUCACUCUUCCUUUCAUGGUCUUGCAACUUUGAAUGGUGAGUCAUGACCGAAACGCUCCAAAAUGUAAACCACAAUGGGGAUAAUAUGACUAGAAAAGAAAGGCAUGCUUGGCUAGUGGCGGCGGACAUCGCCUACUUGGCAGAGUGAUAAUUGCAACCCUCUCCUCCAUCUCACUCUAAACAUCGGUGUCCGCUGGAAGUUGACGCUAAACGGUCUAGUCGUCUAACAACUCGGAUGCUCUUAGACAGGAGAUGAAGAUCUACGAGUUCGGCAGAAAGCGUUUUUUGCCAUUGAGUUCUAUUACCUAAUAGAAUUGUAUUACCAGAUAGAGUUUCUUUUUGUGGAGAGGGCUAAGGCUAUAUAUUGGAGUACUGGGCGAUGGUGAGGUCGGGGCUCGGGGUGGAGUAGCUCACCAAAAUUUCACCACUAGCUAAGAUGAAUCAAUUCAAUCAACUCCAAGUCACUACAAUAUCAAUCAAUUCAAUCAACUCCAAGUCACUACAAUAUCAAUCAAUUCAAUCAUCAACUCCUAGUCACCCGAAUUAUUUUGAGCCAUAGUAUCAAUCAGUUCAAUCAACUCCUAGUCACCAGUAGCUAAAACUUUGGAUUUAAUUCACUCUAAUUCAAUCAAUCACAGAAAUUCUAAAUAAUUUUUAAUUCACUCUAAUUUAAUAAUUCAAAUUUAAAAAAUUGACAAAAACUUUGGAUUUGGAUUUAUUUUUUUGAGAGAGUUUUUUAGGGCAAUUUUUUGAGAGAUAAGGAAGAGCCAGUCUUGGCCUGGGCCUCGUUCCACCAAGGCUGGCCCAGUAGCUUGCUGUGGGAAUCCAAGCCCAGCCCAACCCACAAGGCUCCUCCUUUCGUUUCGUUCGGCUUAUAGCCGAGGCGGAGUCGCGGAGGAGGCGGUGUUGCUUCGCUUCGCUUCGCUUCGCGGGAGGGAAAGUCGGCCAACCUUCCCGCUGCCGGCGUCGGCGUCGGCGUCGCCGUCGGUCGCGUCUCCGCCCGCAGGUGAGCCGCUGGCAUCCUCUCGCCCCUCCCCUCCCCCUCCGCCUCCCCCGCCUAGGGUUUGGUGCUUCCCCAACCGUUCCGUUCCGUUGGGCUGACGAGCAUUUCCCCCGUUCCGUUGUUCGUCGCAGCCGCAGGCGCCGCCGCCUCGCUCUUCCUCUCCGACGACGCGGAAUCCGCCGCUCCUCCCGCUUCCGCACGUCCGCAGGUGCAGGUGAGAAGCGCGCGCCCCCACCUCCCUCCCCCUCUCCGACCCCCGCAGCAGCGCAGUCCCCUGCCUGCUGCUAGUCAUCAGUUAAUCGGCGGGACGGGGCCACGCGUUUCCGGUCGGGCGCCGCACGCUCCGCGGCGGACGUUCGCAUCUGGGGUCGGGAUUUUGGCCGGGAAGGUUGUGCGGUGAACUGCUCCUGGCCGGGAAUGUUUCUGCGAACUGCUCUUGGCCGACAGAUCGUUUCUGCAAAUUUUGGCCGGGAUUCGGGAUCGGGAUUUUUGCCGGGAUUUGCGUCCCGGGAUCCCGGAUAUUCCGUUCUUAGUCAUUAGGUAGUAUCAUAUUACUUGAGCUCUGAAGUUAUUGCUGUGAUUCGUGAAUCAUGCCAAUGAUGCUUGCUAGUGUUCCGAGCAGUUGGAAGCAGUUAUUGCUGGUGAUCUAUUAACCGAGUGACAUGCAAUUUUACUCGACUUGUUCUUAUUGCGUUGCUGAGCCCAAUUUCUGUCUGCCUUGCAUUCGGAUGCGUUUGUAUUUCAAUCUUCUGCUGAUGUUGAGAAUCAUUUGCUAGUUUACUUGCGUUCUAAGUUACUGGUAUGAUUCAUGAAUGCUUGCUAAGGGUGCCACCUACUGUAUUGUUUGUUAGGUAUUCUGAGCAAAAAAUCCUUCUGAUUUUGUUAGUUCCUGAGCAAAAUUGGUUGCUGAACCCUUUAUAUAUCUGUCAACCUUGGCUGAGUGUUAAAUACUGGGUGUUUUCUAGGAUACGGAUGCUUUCACAAAGUUAAUUAGCUCCGAUUCUCCAGGCAAGCAUUCAUCUUCUUUUGAUUGACAUUUGUCUUGCAUUGCGUCGAAUGCCGCAUACAACCUACGGUGUAAAAUGCUGGCCUAUUUCAUACGCCAACCGUGUAGGUGGAUGCAUGUAUUUUCUACCUAGACAAGAUCGCGAGCUUGUGUUCUCCCGAAUUAGUUCUAGUUCAUUGUUGAGUAUAGUCUGUAAAUUCUAUGGGCAUGGUGCAUUUGGAUGCAUAAUUAAUGAACUAUUUCAUUUUAUUAAAAAAAAAUUGGUUCCUGGCUUCCUGCUCUAAACCAUAUGUAUUUAUUGCAUCUGCUGAUGUUGAGAUCCAUCUGCUAUAAUAUAGAGUUUACUUGGGUUCUUAGUUAUUUGUGUAAUUCAUGAAUGAUUGUUAAUGGUGCCACCAACUCUUUUGUUUGUUACCGUAUUCUCAGCAAAAAAAUCCUACCAACUGUUUUGUUUGUUAGCGUAUUCUCAGAAAAAAAAAUCCCUCUGAUUUUCUUAGUUUCUGAGCAAAAUUGGUUGCUGAACCCGUUAUAUUUAUCUCUCCCUUUGCUGAGUGUCAAUAUUCAGUUGCUUCCACAAAGUUAAUUAGUCAAGUACUAGUUGGUUCAUCUGCUAUAAUAUAUAGUUUACUUCAGUUCUUAGUUGCUGGCGUGGUUCGUGAGUGCUUGCUAAUGGUGUGACGACUGUUUUGUUCGCUACUGUAUUCUGAGCAGAUAUUGCAGCUGAUUGUUUGAGCUCUUGUGAUCUUCUUACUGAGUGGCAUGCAAUUUCAGCUGACUUGUUUUCAGUGCGUUGCCUAGCCCAACCUGUAUGCAGACUGCUGUAAGAUGGGCUGUGAUGUGGGAUGUUCUGUUGGAAUUAACUUACUGCAUGGAGUAUACUAGUACUUACUAUUUUGUUUGUUCCCAAGAAAGAUUCUUGAUGUGCUUUCGAUGCUUUGCUGCUUUGUGAUGAUGAAAGCUGAACCUGAAUGUCGAUGGUAUGUGUCGUCCAGAAUUAGUUCUAGUUAAUUGUUUAAGCAAGUUGUUCUCCUUUGCAAUGGCGAAUUGUUGGCAAGUUGGUGCCUCCUUCACAAAUUGUGUAGCUGAACAGAAACAGUUCUUUUUCUUCACUUUUGAUUUGUACUAGUUUUGUUUUACGGGCAAAAAAAAAAAACUACAGCUGAUCGACUGAAUCGAUUCAUCUCCCAAUCAAGUACCAUCUGUUCGAUACUACAUACUUAUAAGAUUAUGCAUCGCGUUGCAGAGAUACCUCGUCAUUGGUGUCCACAAUGUCGCGGACAACUUGCAGCUGCCCCCCAAAGAAGUGUUUCCAAGGGUAUGUGUACAACCGCACACACUUAGAAUGACCUGAACCUGAUCUAUCCAGUCAGCUGGUUAAGGCUAAUUGCUUUGUUAUGUGCAGCACUUGUGACUGUUUAAUAGGGAUUGAGUUAUGCUAUUCGGGAUGCAACUGCAGUGCUGACUGCCAGAACGGCUUAUCUCUUGGAACAAUCAACCCGGCUGCUGCCCAAGGUACCACCCCAACGCUUGCCUCUGGCUCUUCUGCUGCCCAAGAUACUGCUCAAACGCAACCGCUUGCCCCGAGCUCUUCUACUGCCCAAGGUAUCGCUCAACCACAUCCACUUGCCCCGAGCUCUUCUACUGCGGCCGUGCCAAAGCCAGAGGCAGUUGGUGGGCGGGUGAAGUGCAACUGCAGCUUUACCAAAUGCCUAAACUGGUAUGUUCAAACACAGUGGCUGAAUUAUCUGAACCAGAUCUAUCCAGUCAACUAGUAGUUAAUUGGUAUAUUAGUUGUCCAAAGCUGCCAUCUAACUGUUGCUUGAUAUAUUGCGUGCAGCCAAUGCACAUGUUUCAGGGAGGGUUUGAGUUGCAUGAUGGGACGCUGCAAGUGCUAUGACUGCGAGAACAACCCAGAUUGGCUGGUAAGAUAUUCGUUAGAGGGCACUGCAUUCAUGAACACCGUGCUGCUCUGGUGUUUGCCAAGAACCUGAAACAAAUAUGUUGCACUUAUUCCAGGCCGACGAGGAUUACGUGGAGUGCGCGUGCAAAACCAAAAAUUGCAAAACCAGAGCCUGCGGUUGCAACAAGGUGCACGGUUCUUCCUUCUUGUGUAUUCGUGUCAGCUUUAUCUCCUUUGCAAAAGACUAGACAUGCUUAUUCUUUCUCUUAUCCUGACUGAGGCUAGUUGGUUCUUGAUUUGAAGAAACUGAAAGGGUGUAACCCAAAUUGCACGUGCAUAGGGUGCGAGAAUCAGUACGGGAUGAAAGGGGGUAUGUGCAUGACACUUUCUUCUUUUAUGUGUGUUGUUUCAUUCGUAGCUUGGAUAAUCAUGCUAGUGUAAAUCUCUGUUGCUCUGCAUGUACAAAACAGCUGAUAAGUCCAAUGCUGGACCGGGAGGUACGGGUGGCACAAGUGACGCCGGAGGCUCGGGUUCCAACAAGCAAAUAAGAAUCGGGGUAAGUUUGUGCUUCCACUUGCGCAGUUUGUUGAGAGAAAUCAUAGGUUAAUUAUGUGUAUGUCUGCCCCAAUCUGUUGAGGGAUAAGCAACUAAUCCAGGUGAUCUGCUCCUUUUGUGCAGUGAUGACAGUAGGCUUGAGACAUACCGGAGCAUGAUGCAAGUCACCUUACUUACUUACCAUCCUCAAGACAAUUGCCACUCAUCUCCUGUUCAGAUAUCUCCCACUAAAGCACAGCCGGGUUCCUGUAUAUUCCUUGUAAUGGUUACUCGAAGCAAGCAUGGCGACAACCUCCAUGUUCCUCAGCCCUCGGGGGGCUCCAGUGGACCUAGAUUGAUCAGGCUGAUACACUUUAGAACAUAUAUACUUCUGAGUCGCGUAAGAAUAGUUGCCGUCACCGGUUCGGCGUCCAUAUAUGCUGCCCGGAAAUGGGUGCUUCAGUUCGUUCUUAUACAUGCACAGUCUUGCAAAUGAUUUCUCUUAUACUUGAAGAAGAUUCUGGUAGUAUGAAUAUGGUUUGCAACUUUGCAUAUUCUGGUAGCAUGAAGUGAUACGGUUAUUCUUUGUAUAGACCAGUUACACAAGCAGCACUGGUUGCUUGCUUGGAACAAGAAUGACAUCUUAGAUAUUGGGUUCCAUUUGGUUCAGUAAGCGUUCAGUUUUU
rnacentral:lncRNA from 1 species